rnacentral:lncRNA from 1 species
ACAGGUUCUAUUGCAUCUAGGAAACCAACUCACAUGAGGCUGGAAGGUAAUUUAAGUCACUAACUCUAGAGUCUACUCAAUUAAGGAAAAAGCUGACUGCAGCAGAAUUCCUUCUUUUUUUUUUUUUUUUUUUUUUUGGUUAGACAGUUUUGAAAAAGGAACAAAUAAAACAAACAUAUCCCAAUACACGUAAGAUUAAUGCAACUAUCAGUAUCAGCAGACAAACUUGUCUAGUGGCACAAGCGAGAGUAUUAACGCAACAUCAAAACAUUUACUGCAACUAGUAAUUAGCAUUGUGAUUCCAGACUAUUUAAUACUACGGUUAAACAUACAGCUUGCCUAAAUGCAAUGCAGACAUCCCUUGCCAUUUGCUUCUCGGUAGGUGUCAGUAAAACAGGAUACCUCACCUGUCAAAUGAAUUAACAAGCAAACAUCACUCUUUCAACCCCCAUUCAGCAAUAGCAAUGUAUCAUUUCACCCCCAGUAUUUCUGGGUUGCAGCAUGCUAUCUGUUAAGGGAUUGGUCAUCACAUCACUGAUUGAACCAGGCAUUAUAACUAUUUUCAUUCUAAAUAUGUAAACAGAAAAACUAUCAACAUUGGUAUUCCAAAUCAAUUCAAGUGAAAAAAUGUGCCUGGUGUUAUAGAUCAUUUCAGAAUAAAAGAUUUAAAAAGAUUACAAGCAAUUGGAAAUCAAAGAAUUCAUAUGAUACAGAGAAAGAGAGAGAUAAAGAGAUAGAGACAUAGAAAAGAAUCGGAAGAACAAGAGGCAGAUCAACCAUACUAUCUUACAUGCAGUACUUACUUCCUUGCCAUCAGGAUUUCUCAUGACAACACCAUCAACAACAGGAGACUUCCUUGCCUCAGCAUGUGCAUAUUCAGGGCCCACUGUAUACACCUGUAUUAUUUAAGGAGAAGAGGAAACAAUUACUUAUGAAAAUGAACCAUUUAAAUGUCUGAGUAUACAACCAAGUUAGGACAAAAUAAUGGUCUCAAACAGCGAUUAUGCACAGGGAGAAUUCUAUGAGCAGUCUCUAUUAACAGUGCAUAAGAAAACUCCAUUCCAUGCUGUCAGUAAAUAUGAUGACAUGAAACUUGAAAUGUUAACGAUAUGUUAGAUUAAUGAGAGCAUUUAACCUCAUUUUCAUGUCAACUUAGGAACUAUGAAAGAUCUCAAACACAAAGCAUCCAACCUUGACAUCUGUUCCUCCAGUUGGCAUGAAUUCUUCGUAUAUAUAAGAGCCUUCACGUCUCACUCUUCUAACCUCUGGAUGGAACUCACUAGAGCGGUUACCAACCUGAAAUCAGACAAUGAAAACAUAUCAAUCAUGGAUAAUGAACAUAUAAAUUCUAAGAACUCAUAAAUACAGUAGUCUCAAACUUGAUACAUUGCUUGCCACAUUCACAUAUCGGUAGGAUGAUAGUAUAAAUGCCCAUAUUUUAUUUGGUAGUCAUGUUAUGACUAAUGACUAAUGAGUAGUAAAGCUGAUUUAUCCAAACCUCCUUAAAUCCAGAUUUCCUUUUUGAUGGUCAAAAUUACCCCAAAACUCGAUCUGACCACAAAGUGAGUAGUUUGGUUUGGGUAGCAAGAGGCAAAAAAGACUAUCCAUCAACCAGGACUUCCCUAACCUUUCUCAUAGAUGAAAUCACCUUGGUUUCAAAUACUUUUCGUAUCAACACAUUCGCGAAUACAAAACUCUCUUUUGAGCAUAUCAUACAAUAGGCAGUUAAAAGCUCACCUUCCUAAACAAUUCCUUCAUUCCUCCACCUGCCGAACUCGGAUAAUAUAUCAUUAUACUAUGAUCAUCCCCUUCAUAGAAGCAAAAGAAAAGAGUCACUAUCAAGUGCAAGAUAAAAGUUAUGAAAAAACAACAAUAAUAAUGGAUACUCCUGACAUUCUCUCUGUGAGUAGUGACUAGGUUUAAGGAUUUAGCAAAAACAAGGUUCAAACAGAAGCCAAUAUGUGAUGACAAAAAAUCAAUAGAACAACUUAUUCAUAUAUUUAGAAACAAGCUGACCUUCAACAGGCUUCUCCACAAAUGGCUUCCAGAAACGAUGACCAUGAACCUCAACAAAAUCUUCUUCCUCAAUAAAAUAGUCCAGCUCCUGAUAUGGUACUUCUCUAUUUACAAGGGCAUAUCUGGGAACAGGGACUCCAUGCAUUUCAAGAUGCUUGAAUCCACCGAAGUUAUUCAUUAGUUAUUGACAUUCUAUUUCUAUAAACAAAAUAUAUUAACAAAGAAAAAGAAAAAAAACAUUAAGUUCGUGCAUGAAGACUCGUCCACUUUUGACAUAGUAAUUCUCUAUCAAGAAGAAAUUCAUAAGCAUACCUCAUAUACCUUCCUACGGUCAUGGAGAAGGUGUUGCUGCUCCAACUCAUUUACUAGAAAAGGUCUGGAUAAAAAGAACAGAUAUUUAGAUAAAUAAACUACUUUUCCUUACAGAUAAGACAAAAAAGAAGAAGGAAAAAGCCCUCCAUGAAUUCAAAGAACAAGGGAAAAGUAUGUAAAGAGACCCUUUUAAUGCAGUGAAAAGGUUCCAAAACCAAACUGAAUAGAAUUGUGAGUUUCACAGUACACACACACACAUACAUAUGAUGGUUGCAUUUCAUAGAAUCUGUACAUGAAGAACAACAUAGCUUACUUCCUUAAAGCAGCAUAUGCCUCAGCCUUUUCCAGAGGAUAGCCGGAGGAAUGAAAAGCAAUCAAGCAGUCACAAAUUGGCCAGCUGUAAAAUACAGUAACGGGGUAACAAAUUAGUCACUUAAAAUUUAUGUAGUGAAAUAGUCACCAAGUUGAUGACACCAGAAUCUGUCAGCAAUAACUAUUCAUGCCGCAAUCACAGGCUCAUAAACAAACACACACAUUUCAUACUGUCACAAAAACACAUACAGUUAAGGAAAACAGAUACCUUUCAAUCGGAUCUUCAAGAAUGACCUUGUCCCCAAAAUGUGAGAUCUACCAGAAGAUUCGCAACAAGACAUGUAUGAGAUAUAGCAGAAAAACUGGCACUGCGUAUAUAUUUGCGUCAUAAAAUGAUGAGCAACACUAAAACAUUACAACGUGCACAAAUUUAUAAUUAGAUCCAACUCGCAACAAGAACAAAUUUGAGACGCAAAUUGAAUGAAAACAAAAGCAAUACCUCAAAUUCACCAAAUGCUUGUAGCCUUUCGAGAAUCUCUCCCAUCGGCGCUGAGAACACCUACAGAAAACGAAGAGGCUCAUUGCAUACAUACAUUGUUCAACUUAUUUACAUCUCUGGUUUCGAAGUGUGUACAAAAAUGAGCAAAAAGGAAAAGAAGAACCUCGGAGCCGCAUUUCACCUUCUUUUCCAUCACACAAACACCAAUCUUUAUCUUCUCUCCCAUUUCUCUUUCUUGUUCCUCCUUCAUCUCUCUCUAUCUCUUUCUCUCGCUCGCUCGCCAAGCUCUUUCACUGGUUCUGCUCAAAUCCAAAGUAAAACAUCAAGAAGCUCAUCAGAGACUCACCGCCAUUCUAUUUAUAUAUAUGCGUGUGUGCGCGUGUUUGUGUAUAUAUUAAUGCAUGUGAUGUGACUAUGCGAGUGUUAAAGAUUACCACAUAGGCAGUUAGGCAAAGGUCAGCUGGCCACGGAAACUCGGAGCGCCGACUCCAACUCGGGCGAGUCACGGGAAAUAGCGGAGAGAAAAGCUGAGGUGCUUUUAAGAGCCAGUGGAGUAGAGAUUUCGGAACAGAUAAAAAUGAAAAAAAUGGAAAAAAUGAAAAAAAUGAAAAAAAAUUGUAUGGGAUGUGUUUGGAUUUGGAGAUAAACAUUCUUUGGAUUCUGGAAUAUACAGCAAAAAGGAGGGACCAGGACGUGGAAAGGUAUAUCUCAUGUGAUUUUUUGGAUUUAUCCAAAUGCAAAGUGGUUGCUGUCCAACGCCUCCACUUUCCAAUCCCAUCCACCCUUCACCAAGCUGGGAAAUCAGCUCUGGCUUUGGAUAUGGUCCAUUUCUUUUACUUUAUUAAUAAGCUUUUUUUUGGCCUUUUCCUUUUGCACCUAAACUAAUACUAUAAAAAAAUGUAUUUAUUAAUUUGACUAGUGCUUUGGUGUGUUGGGUUUGUUGAGUACCUAAUAAUAAAAUAAUGAUUUGAUUUGAUUCGAGGACCAACACUCCAGAUCGUCUGACCAAAAUCCACUGGAUUCUGGCCAUAUUCUACAUACCCUCUUUUUUUAUUCUUCCGACUAAAUAAUUAAUAAUUAAACUUGAUUGUUCUUUAAGUUUAUUCGCAGAAUUUAUUUAUAUUUGCAUGUGUUUAGUUGUGGUGGGCCUUGUGGCCCAACUUUAAUUUGGGCACAUAUGGCAUUUUCGAUGGUUUGCAAAAAUUGGACCCGCAAUUUUAUUUUUCAUGGUUCGAUGUGACAAUCGUUUAUUGGACCGCUAGGUAGACGCGGCGUCAACGCUUUGAAAUUCGUAAGCAUGCUAUUAUUGAAUUAAUAUUAAACAGAGUCAAAGUGCAACGUGGUGCAAUUUCCAAACGUCAAGGAAAGGAAAGAUCCUCCGUCUAAUCCAAGGGCCUGGCUGGGAAGACUCAGGGUGCGGCGCUAGUAGUGGGGACCACGCCGUCGCCCCUGGUAUUGGUCGACAACAGAUUAAUUAAGCACAAUAGCAUUCACAGCUAAAUUAAGAACUAGUAAUAUCGACAAACCAGUUAGUGCGGUUGGUUACAGAAGUGAACCCGCUCCCUUGCCCGAUAAAUUUCAUUAAUUUAGAUUAUCAUUUGUAUAAAAUAAAUACAAAAAAAGGCAGCUGAUUAAGAUUUUAAUUAUCAUUUAUCACCCCGAACUCCACAUUCAGCCUAGUGCACCUUUCAGAAACAUGAAAUCACAUCCAGAUAAGAAGAUCAAAUAAAAAACUCGUGAUUCUGUGAAUGCUUGCAGCACUCACAAAAAUAGUUUUUUAAGACGACACAGAUGUAUUUGUUCGUUUCUUGAAAGCAAACGUAUUUGGUCGUGACUCAGACUGACAAACAAAAUUGUUAGGUAAAGAAAACAAGGGGGGUUUUCACGUUUAGUACUGUCUUGUCAGGUCUUUCAUAGCCAUCAGCGGCAGCCUCUUCAUCUGGACCAUCUGUAUAGUAGUUAAGCAAUUAAAUUGAGUCAACAUUUAUGAGCAAAUACUUCUGUGUUGUCUCCUGUAUCUUCCCAACGCAAAUAACCAGUUUAGCACCAAGAAAUUGCUUACCAAGUUUGUCAAAAAUGUCCCUCGCAUAGAUAACUUAAGCACCAACCCCUUGUUUGCCAAUACUAGUUCCUGCAAUGUAUCCGCCAGACCAAGCGUUCUGCAGCAAAAACAGCCCAAGGAGAACAGAGUGAUGAUUUUGAACUAACAUAUGAUUAUAAAUGGCAUGGUAGAACAUUUUCAAAGUCUAACAUGAGAUGGGGAGCUAGACCAUUAAUCAUGAAUUUUCUCUCUUUGACUAUUACAUUAUGCCAGUUGCAAUUUCGAUUAUAGAACAAAGAAAAAAAUUGCAUUGGCCAUCCUUUGAUUUGGGCAGAACAAAAACAUGCUUAAACCUGUCAAGAUUAUCAAGGACAAGGUCAAAGUCCACUUUGAUGAUGGACGACAAGAUAUUAGAUGGGAAAAUCUCCACCAAUGGUUCUUACGAGUUGAAUGUUUGACCGUGUAAACCCAAAUCUUGAGCAAGGCAAUAUUUUCAACACCAACAAUUUAUUCUUGGUGCCAGACUUUGCAUGCAGUGACUUUAGAAGAAGGCCUCUGAAAAUUUAAGUUAAUAUUCAAACAUACUACAGUCAUAGUAUUAACAACCUGUUAAAUGGUUAUAAUUUGUCAUUUCUUUUAUAUGAGAGGUCUUUUACCUGAAAAUUGAAACCACCAGUUAUCCCAUCAACGUUCAGUACCUGAAAACAGAUGUUUACUUUCAGCACCAUAAGUAGGACACCAUGUGCCUGUAUGUGCAUGCACGAGUGCAAGUAUGGAUUGUUUUUUAUUUUUUUCCAAUGAACAAAACAAGUAUUUUCCAUGCAUACUACCUCUCCAGCAAAGAAUAGAUGUGACUGGAUUUUGCUUUCCAUCGUAUUCAUCGAUAUCUUCACAAAAGCAAGAAACACAAUUACACUUCUAAUAUAUGUGUGUGUGUGUGUGUGUGUGAGAGAGAGAGAGAGAGAGAGAGAGAGAGAGAGAGAGACCUCAGAGAGUGGAACACCACCAGCAGUGACAAAUUCAUCCUUAUAUUGACUCUUCACCAUGAAAUGAAGCACAUAUUUCAAUAAGGUGCAAAAGAUUUGUCUUAAAGAAAAAACUUGGGGGGUGCAGAGCAGGUUUACCAAAACCUACCUUUCCUGUAACAUAAAAGUUACAAUGCUUUAACAUAUGUGCAAGAGAAAUUAAUGAGUUCUUUGAAAUGGAAGCCCACAAGGUAUCACCAAGUAAACCCUACACAUGAAUAUUGAAAGAAAAAUAUAUCUAUGAGGCUAAUUUCUCUUUAAGAGUGCAACAUAUCAUGUUUAAGCUUGGAACAAAAAUAAAACCUGGCGACCCAAUAUAUAUAUCCAAAAUCUCUUCACAAGGCCAAAUUCUGAAGGAUAUGAAUUGGACAGUUUUUGCUUCUGCAGGGGUAUAGGCAAAAAGCAAGAGAAUUGUCAAUUCAAGGCACAACAAAUUGCAAGAGUAUAAUGUAAGUGAGAAGUAUUUAGAAUAAAAUUAAGCGUAUUGUGUCACAGUCCUAACAUAAGUGAAUAUAUAAACAUGGCAUACGUCUUCAGUUGAUAAGAUUGUUUCCAAAUUUCAGAAGUUCGGUCUUAAGGCAUUAUGUCAUUACUGGUUCACACCAACUUCUUCCGAACCUAAGUAUUUGUAAGUCCACCUUCUUAUGCAAAACCCAGAUACAGAGUUGGGUGUGCUCAAUUAUAAACCCACCUAGCCCCAUCGUUACUCAUAAAGAAACUAGUUCCACAGUUUCACUUUGACCAUGACAUUUGAUUAAAUAGAAAUCUACAAGUUCACCAAGGAAGCAAUAAGAGUUAAGACCAAGGACUACCGCAAACCGAUUUUUGUGUUGGGUGAGGAUUGACUUCAGAUCUUCUAUAUGCACAUCAGGUGUGAAGUCUACAAUAAGAGUCCCUGCAUCCAGAUGCUACCAAGUUGAGAAAAAACAAUAUUUCAAAGGUAAUGAAAAGAUGUGGCCGGAAAAAUAAAAUAACAAAAGAAGAAAUCUCCUUUCCUUUGUAUCCUGAACUGGAUAAAACACAGGCGCCCCAAGCAGAUAACCGAAGAAUUGCAGGCCCACUGAAUCCCCAGUGCGUGACCAACACAGGUCCAACCUACAGUUCCAAAUAUUUUGGAUAUGGCACAUGAAUUAUUGAAAAUCUAAAUGAUGGCAACAAAUAAAACAUGCCUGCGUAAGCUGUGGUAUAUUCCUUCGGGCAUUCUCUAUUUUCAGUGUUGCCUUAACUUUAGGGAAUGUAAUCUGAAUGUGAUUACAAAAAAAAAAGGGUUAAGAACCAUACACAAGCUUGUUUCUCUCGAGUACACAUGUUUCAUAAGCAAAUAAAGACAAUGAUGGUUAAUAAUUUGAUACGCAGUAAGCAAAGGAUUUUGAUCAUUAUGAAAGAAAAUUACCCCUGACAAAUCUGCCAGCCGUGGAUCCUCAAUCUUGAAAGUAAAUAAGCUUGGUACUGGAUCUACAAUUGAAUGACCAAGCUGAGAUGCAAGACUGUAACCCUGACACAAGAACAAAGACAUUUCAACAAACUCAAUCCAUCAACAUGACAAGCAAAGGAAUAAGGAUCUAUCACAACCUGCUUGCUAUUACCGCUGGCAAUCAAAAGAUAAUCAGCUUCAACAUAUUCAGGGGAACUGAAGGUGCGCUUUUCAAUCCCUAGAAGAAAUUUCCCUCCAGCAGUAGGAGAUGCAGUUAUCACAGCUUUUCCAGUCUGCAGAGAAACUGGUUGAGGAACCAAUUUCAGCAGAAACAACUUGCAAGUCAUAAUAUUAGAACUCUGCCACUCAAGCAUCCUGAUUUGGAUGUUAGAUAAAUAUUAUAAGACCGAGAAAGGAGUAGAGAGGACUAGUUGUCUAUGAAAUGACAACAUACUACUGAAAAUAACUUCUUGCCAAAUAAAAGCCAUCUUAGAUGUAGCUCUUCAACAAGAGCCCCAUAAGGGUUAAUACAAAGGAACAGACUGAAGUGAUCAAAUAGCAGCAUCAUUCCAUCAGUGGACAAACAUACCUCCCAGUCGUGUCGAUUCAGACAUGAGACAAUCAAUUAUCGUAGACGAACUGUUGCUGACAGGAAAUACCCUUCCAUCGUCCUCAAUCUACGGUCAGCAGAGAACAAAUUAAACAUGCACAAUAAACACAUGUUUAAAGAAACUGACAUGUAGCUUGGUACCAACCUUCAGCCUAACCCCAUGUUCAGAAAACCAGGACAUGGUAUCAACUGGCCCAUGCACAUUGAAGAAUGCUCCUCUCAAUUCUUUAUGACCCCUAGGGUAAUUUUCUGCCAACAUCUACGACCAAAAUCAUCAUUCUGAACAAAACCAAAAUGUAUGCAUGCAAGAUGUUCUAAUUUCAAUUUAACCCCGUGUAUUUACUACCUUAUUAUCAACACAAUGCCCAUUUGUCACAUUGCAUCGGCCUCCUCCAGAAAUUUUUACCUGCCAAUAACAAAUGGAUAAUAAACCAACUUGGCUUAAUAAUCUCUGAUUCUUGCCGUGAAAAAAAAAAAAAAAAAAAAAAAAAAAAAAAAACCUUGUGAAAAGGGACUUACCUUGGAUAGAGGCUUUCCUUUCUCAAUGACCACUACAUUGAGAUUAGGAGCCAGAGUUUUAGCUCUAAUUGCUCCAUAAACCCCAGCUGCUCCGCCCCCAACUACCACCAGUAGCUCUUCACUUGUCUACCCAUCAAACAACUCAAACAAAUAAGUUCAAAAUCUUCUAAAGAACAUGAAGAUAAAAAAUUGCGUCUUAGAAACAAAGAUGGAUGAAAAAAUUAUUAUCAUGCUACCUUAUUUUGAGCUCUGGGGAUGGCAGUCGAAGUAAAUUUUCUUUUAUUGAGGGUUGAAAUAAGACCGCCAUUGUUUUUGGUGGUAGUUGCAGCUUCUGAGCAGACCCUAGAGUGAAGGAGGACGAAGCGCGCCAAGGUGAAGCUCAUGGGCGCUCCCUCCUGUCUAUUCGAUUUACGAUGCCAGUUGCUUGCACCGUCGCUGCGGAUAAAGCAAAAAGAGUAAGGUGUGGGAUUAUGACGUGGCAGGAGUCUUAUAGAACGACGUGUCGUUGCUAUCCCUCUCUUGGUUUUCAAUUCUUCCCCCAACGGCUUCAAUACAUGCACGCAGACGUAUACGUAUAUGAGCCGGUUCUUCUGCAACAGUAGCAUACAAGCAUGGAAGCGAUGCAUGUCUUUAGCACAAGGCUGCAGCAACAUGCGCAAACUCAAAGCCACCCACGCCAUCUUCAUCACCAAUGGCCUCCACCUCAACAACUACGCCAUCAGCAAGCUCAUCGCCUUCUGCGCGCUAUCGAACUCUGGUGACCUUUCGUAUGCGUCUCUUCUGUUCAACCAAAUCCAGACCCCAAAUUCUUACCUGUACAAUACCCUCAUCAGAGCCUACUCUCGCAGUUCUCAGCCUCAUUUGGCUGUGCAUUAUUUCCUUCUCAUGUUGAAACAGAGCAGCUUGGGACCCGAUAAUUAUACUUUCAACUUUGUCAUCUUGGCUUGCGCAAAUUGCUCUUGGCUAGUUUCGGGCAGGCAAAUUCACAAUUGGGUUGUUAAAAAUGGGUUGUUUUUAGUGGAUGCUCAUGUUCAGACAGCCCUUGUUAGACUUUAUGCCGAGUGCAAGGUUUUGGAUGAUUCCAAGAAGGUGUUUGAUGAAAUUCCUGAGAGAGAUGUUAUACAGUGGAAUGUUCUUAUGAAUGGGUAUGUUAGGUGUGGUUUGGCUUCUGAGGCUUUGAAGGUUUUCCGGGAUAUGUUGGUAACUGGGUUUGAGCCUGAUAACUUCUGUGUAGCUACUGGGCUAGCGGCUUGUGCUCAUUUGGGGGCUCUUCGGCAGGGGAAGUGGAUUGAUGAGUAUGUUAAAAAGAGGACAGGGUUGAAGUCAGAUGUGUUUAUCGGGACUGCGCUUGUUGAUAUGUAUGCCAAGUGUGGUUGUAUAGAUUUGGCUGUGGAAGCCUUUGAGGGAAUGCCAAAAAGGAAUGUGGUCUCAUGGGCAGCUAUGAUUGGGGGGUUUGCAGCACAUGGAUGUGCAACUAAUGCAAUUCAUAGCUUGGAGAGAAUGCAAGUGGAUGAUGGUCUAAGGCCCGACGGGGUCGUCCUUCUUGUAGUGCUAAUGGCUUGUACUCAUGCAGGUCUCCUGGAGAAGGGUAAGCUUCUAUUAGACAACAUGAAAACUCAAUACGGGAUUGUGCCCAAACAUGAGCAUUAUAGCUGUGUUAUAGACUUGCUCUGUAAGGCAGGUCGGUUAAAUGAAGCACUUAAGCUUAUCAGAAAAAUGCCCAUGAAGCCACUUGCUUCUGUCUGGGGUGCUUUACUGAGUGGGUGCCGAAUCCAUAAUAAUGUAGAUCUUGCAGAGCUUGCUGUUAAAGAACUUCUACAGCUAGAAAAUGAUGUCAGGGGAGAGGAAGUUGGUGCUUAUGUUCAGUUAUCAAACAUUUAUUUGGGUGCACGGAGAGGUGAAGAUGCAAUUAGGAUACGGAAGAUGAUCGGUGAAAGUGGAAUCAAGAAGACACCAGGAUGCAGUAUGAUAGAGGUGGAUGGGAAGGUUAAUGAGUUUGUUUCAGGAGACGUAUCACAUUCACAUCAAGCAUGGAUAUGCGCAAUGCUGGACCUAAUAUGUGCUGACUCAAUUCAGGACCCUUUCUAGAUUAUGUUGAAUGGUUUGCAUACUUAACGGUUCUGGAUCCUCAAGGGUUAUGACUUCUCAUUGCCCAUGGCUGCUCAAAUGUUCUUAUCAAGCUGGUUUCACAUAGACUUCACCCACUACUGGGCAAUGUCUGAAGGAAGAUGCAUGGUUAACGUAGAAUUCUUUCCUAUAACCGAUCCUAUAUACCUUAUUUCAUAUUAUUAACCCUUUAAUCACAAGCAUUGAGUUGACAAGUAUUCCUGGAAGAUAAUUAUAAUUUAAAGAUUUAUCUUUGCAGGAUGAUGGACUCACAGUCUUCGAUUACUAAGUGCUUUUGGUCACCACCUGCAACAGAGACUGGUACGAUGGUAAAUCUGCUUAAAUUUCUUCAUCUGAUCAUGGAAACACUACCAGAUUUAAUAGCACCAUCCCGAUUUCCUAAUGUAUAUCAACUCCAUGAAUUAUAUGUUAUAGUUUUAAUGAGAUUAUAGAUGGAUUGGUUUCACAUGGAUUCUACUUACUGAUCUCAAUUAUAAACUUCAACCUCGCAUUAGUAACCAUACAAUUGGAAUACAGUUGGUUGUGCUAAAUGAGACUUGUCUUAUUUGUUCUCAUACAUCAAGAAUAUCAAAAAAUGAACAAAGUAAUUAAGUAUAGCCCUGAAAAAUUUCAUGAACCAAUUUACUGAAUAAUCAUCUGGAAAAGACAUUUCCUUUGCUUUUGUGCAUGAUUUGCUACUUCCCCUCUGUAGCGAUGUGAAUGAUGAGUUAUGGUUAUUCCACUCUGCUUCCUAUCUGUGUUUGCAAAUUUGAGCAGAUUCGGAACUGAAUGUAUAGAAUAAGCGGGCAUCUGAUGUUCACAGGUUUUGCAAAUUCAGUCCAGUCCCAAGUCACUUCCUGCUGGUGAAGGACACAUGACAACCAUUAUUAAAUCAGCAUGGAUAUACAAAUAAACAAGGUAUAUGUUUUAUUACAUUCAGACAUGAAAACGUUUUCAUUAAAACGUUUUUGGAUUUGUAUAUGUGGGUCUAUUGAUGACUUAAAUAUGUUGAGAAAUAAUAUGCAUCACAUUAUCAGUAAAUAUGGUACAAAAUAGUUUCAUUACAAUUCAAAAAGCUUAGUAGAAUCACCGAUAUAUCCAACAUGUUUAGAACCAUCAAGAUGAAGACAUGAAAACCUGUUAAGACCUUGAGAACUACGAACCUUCAGAUGAAGAGGGAACCACAACAACAUGCAUAUCAUGGUUGUUUGGAGGAAGAUGUAAACGAAUGGGAUACAGUUUCCCAUUCAGUGGAUUACGAGAACACACAACAAUUUCCUCUAGCCCGGUCUCUUCCUUCAACUUCUUCUUCAACCCCUCUACCUCGCUACCCUUUAAGGAGAAGGAAAACUCUUCAGCUGAAUCCUUGACAUCUCCUUUAUCAUUAGCCACAUGAUAGUGGAUCAUUCUCCCUGCAUCUUUCAUCGGAGAACCAUGAUUGAAUGACUCACUUGACUGCAUUCAAGAACAAACAACAAAAUCAUCCAACUUAUCACAAAAAUACAAUCAAACUUGAUAGCCACGGAAAAAUUAGAGUCGUCUUGUCGAUCAAAACAAACCUCUUCUUUGGAAGUUCGUGGCGACCUAAGCUCAAUCUUGGAUGGAGAUGUUGGUUCUGUAGGUUCUGCAAGCAGUUCAGGUGGUGGAGGGGGCGGGGGUAGAGCCACUGGUCUACGUUCUGGAGAUUCAGGCUGGCGUUCUGGAGAUUCAGGCCGAGGUUUCGGAGAUUCAGGCCGAAACUCUAUAACAUCUAUAUCCCACAGAACCCAGUCCUGGCUUGCAGUUCUAUGAGGCACAUCAUGGGUGAUAGAGUUUCUCCAAGGCGGCACACCCCCAUUUGCCCGCAAGAAUUGGCCGUAGGGAGUCUUGAGCCUGACCUGACAUCCCUCUCUUAUAGGCUCCCAUUCUAGAGAAGAAUCCAAUCUCUUUGGCAGGGUUUGUAGGACUUUCUUGCCUCUCAAUCCUAGCCUGAACGGCAUGUUGGCGGCUGUCAAAUACUUGCCAUAACAGCUUUUGAAACGUAAAGUGUUUGAAUUUUUGACAAACUCCACGGUCCAUCUCGCAUUCCUCACCGUUCCAUCCCGAUCUUGGCAUACCGACUCAUGAUCGUCGUCUGCUAAUAGAUAUUUGUCGUGGUGGCUUCGUAAGCGUACCACUCUGGCUGUUUUGAACAACUCCAUGUUUGUCUGAAAACAAUAAGAUUGAUCAAUUACUAUGAUUACGCACAGAACACAGAGAACCGAUGGAUUGAACAAAAUGUAUAACGUUAAUUGUGAAGAGUUAAGAAUGGUGAUUAGUUAUGGUGAUUAGUUUUUGUCUGAAAUUUUGAAAUGUAAUUUGUAUACCUUGAACUAAAACGGCAAAUGAUAUGAAGCAAAUUGGCGUCUUGCGUGAUUUGUUUGUUGAUGGCAAGGAAUUAGAGGCAAAGGUUGACAAAGGUUGAGGAAAUUAAGGAAACUAUAUAUGAGAGGAAGAUAUAUUAAGCCUAAUGGAUGGUCUUAUCUUAUGGUUGAAAAUCCAAAUCAAAAAGGUCGUUCAGAAAACAAACGCAAAUACUGGAUUUGGAGAAGCGGUGGUUGGGCAUCUAUUAGGCGUAGUGAUCCAAUCCAAAUUCAAAUUCCAAAUUUAUAUUUUCUGUUUUUUAUUUUUUAUUUUGUGUCUCUCUAAUAACACCAUCACACGUCUAAGUUGACCCAACAAUUAUUUUACACCUUAAAUUACGUGCUUUAAUACUUGGAGAAAUCUUUAUAUGUUUCGAAUACACCAAGCAGUACAUAUAGGACAUUUAGAAAUAUUCUAUACUCUAGCACUUGACCUAAAAACCCAUAAACCAUAACAUGCAUUGCUUUGUUGGGUGAUGUGCAUUUUUUUUAAAGACUUGCAAUAUAUCUCUUCACCGUAUCAAUUACAUCUUAUCUAAUUUCAUAUUACUAAUUAUUCAUUUGUUCAAACGAUGGGCGCUUGUUAAUUUAUUUGUCAUUACAAAUGCAAAAAACCAACAAAUUGCUAAAUAGAAGAAGAAAUUGAGUCAGUUGUAUAGAAAAAUAUGGUCUGACCAAAAUACAUGUUACCAAGUUACACAAAGAUCUUUUCUUUUUCUUUUUUCGAUUACGAGUUACAUUAAGAUCUCGAGAUCAUAAGGUGGCAAAUUCCGACAUCAAGCGUGCUAAUUUUUUUUCGUAUAUGAAGGUGAAUUCUGUUUGGGCGAUGUAAGAUCAAUCUCCAGUGGAGAUCCGGGCUCUGUUUGAUCAUGAUCAUCAUCACCACCAGUACUACCAGCGUUAUGAUCACUAUUAAUAUUUGUUUGUUCUCGUUGUCGUUGUCGUUCUUGUUGUUCUUGUUGUUGUUGAUCAUCCAGACGAAUCUCCACAACAUCCACAUUCCAUAAAAUCCAAUCUUUCGUUGUACUUCUCCAGUUAGGAUUGUCGUGCGAGAUGGAGUCUUUCCACGGCGGUAAGCUACACCCAUUUGCACGCAAGUAUUGCCCGUUGGCUGUCUUCAGCUUCACCUUGUAUCCUUCUGCCACGCUCACAGGCUCCCAUUCCACUAUUGAAUCCAAUGUCCUCGGUAGGGUUUGCAAUACCUUCUUGCUUUUGAUUCCCAGAAGGUAUGGCGUGCUUAAGGCUGUUAAGUAUUUCCCAAAACAGCUCUUCAAUCGUAACGUGUUCGAAUUUUGGCUGAUCAACUCCACCGUCCACUUUGCGUUCUUCACCGUGCCGUCGCGGUUCUGCCAAACGGAGACUUCAUCGUCAGCGGCUAAGAGGUAUUUGUUAUGGUGGCUUAGGAAGCGUACCACCUUGGCUUGCUUCAGAAACUCCAUAACAUAUGCAUGCACUGAUCUGAACACAAACAAGAAUUAAUUUUACGUACAUCGAUAUUAUUACAUGUGAUAUUAACAUGCAUGCACGCAUGAUUGAACAAAAAAACGUGUAACAUCAAUAUUUUCUAAUAUAUCUGUGCUAGCUUGAAAUUAAAUGCAAUUAAUUUGUACCUUGAAUGAAUAUGCCUUGUCUUUUGGUGGCGGUCGCGACCGGAGCUUAUGGAAGAACUAGAAAUUAAGGUGGAUUGAUGUGUUUAUUAAUGGCAAGGGAAUGGGGAUUAGAGAGGCAGAGGCGGCCUGAAGUUGAGGAAAGUACUUGAGGAAACUAUGAGGGAGAGGUAUAUAAUUGAAUUUAAAGGGAUGGUUAUGAUUUUAUUUACCAAAAGAAAAAAAUGAAAUGAAAAUUUUAAGAAUUUUAUAUGAAGCCUACGCGUGAAAGUAAAGAAUUUUAAGAAUUUUGCACAUGUCCCUCACUCAUAGAUGUCGGCUAAUUGGGUAAGAACUAAUUAAGACCAUAUAAAUGUGUGGUUCCUAAUUCGUAGGGAACUAAUUAAGAUUUUUAAUUCAUACGGGACUAGCAUAAGUUAAAUGUGGGGUUUAUCCUCUUCGAGUUUGAUUACGAGGUCCACUUCCCAAACAAUACUAAUACGUUCUGAAAAUCAGGAGGGCAGUUAGUUGAUUUAAUUUCAAUUCUUUGCUUCUCCAAAUAAAUUUUAUCAGUUAAUUUUAAUGUUAGAUCGCUCUAUUAUUGUAAUGAUCAUUUGUGACUAGUGACUUUUUUUUAUUGAAUUAUGAAUGCAAUCCCAGAAUCUCUAAAAAAAAAAAAAAAAUUCAUCAAGUUCACUAACACAUAAGAAAUUAAAAAAAUAUGUGGAUUUGAUUGGCUCAAAACCAGGAGAGGAUAGUUGAUUCAAUUACAAUCCCUUACUUCCUCAUUCCAAGUAAACAUGUCAUAAUAUUUAAGCUAUUCUUGAUGUGAGUUAUGUUGUCACAUUAUAAAUGCAUGACCAUUUUAAUCUUCAAUUUAUAAUUAUCAUGAUCAUAAAAUUUGAUUUUCAAUUAUAAUUCCAAUAUUUAUCUCACUUAUUUUAUUUUUUUUCAAAUUGAAUACAAAACAGAAAACUAGAUCUUCAGACUUCUAAUUGUUGUGAAACUUAUACAGUCUACUUUGUUUGUCAUUCUUUUGGCACAAACAAGAUACAAAAGAAGAGUUAUUUACACUAAUAUACUUCAUAUAUUAUAACAAUUUCUCUGCCAUGGGAGAGGCAAUUUAAAAGAUGGGUGAUGAUUUCUGUCCACAAAACACACUUGAUCUAAUUCCAAUGUUGAUUUUGGCACAUCAUUAGGCCCAAGCCAAUUAGCUUAAUUAGUACUUAGCUUCUUUAAUUGAUUGAGGGGCAUACAAGUGAUUUUCAGCUAACCGUGCAACUGCGUAUAAAUAUAUAACUCCGAGAUACUCAAAAAUCAGUUCAACAAGAUCUACAUUUGAAGAGAGAAACAUUCAAAUUUUACUUGGUCUUCUAAUCCCAACUCAGUCUUAUCAAUCGCAAAUCCAACCUGCUUUUUGAUGAUCAAACCAAACCAAUACCUUAUAUUCAUCUUUUUCAACAAAACAAACACUCCAAUCAAUCUGGAUUGAUGAUCAUUAAAACCAUCGAUGAAUGUACAUUCUACCCUACAAUGACGAUCAAAGGAGGCACAAGCCAAGCCUGUGCUGCGUGCAAAUACCAAAGACGACGGUGCGCUAAGGACUGCCCUCUCUCUCCCCACUUCCCGGCCGAUCAGCCCAAGAUGUUCCAAAACGCACACCGUUUGUACGGCGUCUCCAACAUAAUGAAGAUCCGAAAGCAAGUUCAUCCCGAGCAACAAAACGAGGCGAUGAGAUCAAUCAUAUACGAAUCCAACAUGCGUGCCAAAUUUCCAGUCACUGGCUGCAUGGGCAUCAUAAACCAAUUGAACUUCCAAUUACAACAAGCCAUCGAGGAGCUUCGUUACGUCAGAACACAUCUCGUAAUAUGCAAGGACCAAUGCCAAUAUCGAAUCCCUCCCUCUCCCCCACAUUACUCAUCAUGUCCUUCCUCGCAAUUGCAACUAGGAAUGCCUUCCAACAACGACGCCUCCGCCGCUCUGACAAUUUAUCAGCACCAAUAUCAGUAUGCUUCUGCUGGUGGCGGUGCCGCAGGGAUGUCCUUUGUGGCUAAUGAGUAUCUUGCAAAUGGACUUAGUGCGGUUUAUAUUGACGACAAUGAUGUGGUAAAACCUCUUAGGGUUCAACAUCCUUAUUAUAGCGAUAACAAUGUUGAUCAACUUAUGGCUGUUCAGUCUAAUUUGGUUUCCUCACAAGCCUUUCCUAUCCACCAAGAAAUGGAUGUUCCUCACGAUUACGAUGACAUUCCAUUUGAUACAAUUGCUGAUGAUCGGCAAUCGUAUAUUGAAUCCAAAGACGCCUGUGAGUCAAGGUAAUUUGUGCUAGCUCCACACAUUUAAUUAGUACUAAUUAAUUAGAUAUGUAUAUACAAAUUUAUCUUAUAUAUACAUUAACUAGUGUAGUGGUUCGGAAUAAUUGCUCCUCCAAGAAAGGUCAUCGUUUCAGUCCUAGCAACCGUGUAGUGAUUAACAAACUUAAUUAAAUUUAUAUGCAGUGCUGAAUCAUCGUUCAAGGGUACCACGCAAUCUAUUGAGCAUGUGUCACAGAAUGAUCUCAAGAGUGCGGCAGCAUGCUUCAGCCUAACAAGUGUGAAAUAGAUAGCUACGGGAAACAAGUGAAGUUAAUUUCAACACGAGCACUCCUUAGUUUUCCAUUCUUUUUUACUACUUUAUUUGUUUUCACAUUCUAGUGUUAAAAACCUCAUAGAUUUGACAUAUUUGUUUGCACGAUUCAUUGAAUAAGAGAGAUUUUUUCAUGGCCUGAAUUUGAUGUGAUGUUUUGGAUUUGAAAAAAAAAUUAUAGGAAUGCCUUAGCAUUGCUUAUAGGGUUGCCAGUGUCACACUUCUCCCAAUAUCGCAUGUCUACACAACCACAUUCCAAAUAGAAACUACCAGGGUUCUAUAUGGUUGUUAGUUUAUGUAUAUUUAGUGUAAUCCAUUCGAAUUAGAUUAGGCACCCAAUAUGGAUUUUUUGACAACACAUAAUUUUAAGAUUUCGACAUUUUAACCCACCUCCGCCAGCUCCAAUGUGUGCAUGUUCUUCAAUUUUUUGACUGGCUAGUUAUGAAAAGUCAUAGUUUUCUAGUUUAGAUCAUGUUUGCAUCACUCAAUUAGUUUAAUUUAGUCGUUCUUGGCUUGAUUUAAUUUCGUUUUUUCGGUUAACAAAAUAUUAGGCCACCCCUUUGAUUUCUACUUCCCCCUUGGAGUUAGCUACUUCAUAUUUGAUGCAUGCCUCAUAUCUCACAUGUGAAGUAUGAUUUCAUAAAUGAAGAAUAGAAAAAAGUUGUGUUUUGUCUUAUAUCAUGUUAAUAUUCAGAAACAACCCUGCCGAAUAUCCUCAUCAACUUGGGUAUAACCAUCGUGCAGAAUUUGCUCCAGGUGAAAUGGUAAAGCAUGAAGAUAAAUCAAACCCUGCACUGCACGAGUAGGAUUUACGCACCGCCAACUUGGAACUUGGGCCAAAUCAAACAUGUUGGCGAUAGAUUGAUAUGAAGUACACAUACAAGAUUCCCUUGUCAUUGCCAAAUGGUGUUUCUGAAUUUGUACUUAAUAAAGAAAACAGAUGUUUACAUAUAUUAAUCUAACAGAUUUACACACAUACAUCUAAUUUAAUCGAGGGGACGUCAUAGGCUAUAACUGAGGAAACUAGUUGUCAAAACAAGGCAGCUAACGAGGUCUAGCCUAGUGAAAAAAGGUUUUGAUUUGUAGACCAGAGAUUUUAGGUUCGAAUCCCUAUGAUAUCAUAAUUGUGUGUGUGAGAAAUUCUCAUCCUCUAUAGUUUAGACUAUCGUUUUGCUUGUCCUCGAAAAAAAAAAAAAGUCAAAAAAAGCCAAAGAACCGUCUUUCCAUUUCAUGUAGUCUUUUAACACCGUUGCAGGCCUUUGGUCUCUCAUGGAUUACUCUAUUUGAAAAUUUUGAAAGCUCACAUCUCAAACCAAAGCCAGAUAAAUAAAUAAAUAGAACAUUUAUAUUAAUUAGAAAUGCAUACGACACACAAACGUCUGUCAUACUACUAAAGUCAAUGCACAUUAUAUACUCCUUAACAAGUUAACAUCACCAAACUUGUGCGUACUUAAUUACUCUAGGAAUAACAUUAGAGGCCGAGAGGUGAAGGAAGAAGCUGUGUACUUGGAAUCUUUUGCAUUUUGGAAAUCAUGGAUUUGGCAGCAGAGAUAGGAAGAAGCGUGAGGACCUCUUUUCAUCAACAUGCAUCGAGUUUCAGGAGCACUUCAGACGUCAGAUCCAUCAACGACAACAACGACGACGAAACUGAGUUGCAGUGGGCUGCAAUCCAACGGUUGCCCACAUUUGAACGACUUACUGAUGAGCAAGAUAACAAUGGAGGAGGUACUAUUACUAAGAGGGUGGUUGAUGUCACAAAGCUAGGAGCUCUCGAACGCCACGUGUUCAUUGAGAAACUUGUCAAGGAUAUUGAGGGAUAUAACCGCCGUCUGUUGCAGAAACUCAAACAAAGAAUAGACAGGUAAUUGCACUUGCUCAGUGAUAUGAAUAUCUAUGAGAAAAUUUUCUUUUAUGAAAUUAUGAAAUAGGAUUACUUCUCGACUCAUCAUUAUUAUACCAACUAGUUAUUAGUUUAGAAGUGCUCUCUACUCUUUUUUUUUCCCUUGAAAAAUAUUACAAGUUCGAAUAUCGUAUUUACAUAUAAUAAAAAUAAAUAAAUAACAUCACCACUGUCACCAUCACCAUAAUCAUUGCAUUUAAAUAUCCGACUAACCUUUUGCAUUUUAUUUUUAGGGUGGGAUUGCAAUUACCGACUGUGGAAGUUGGAUACCAAAAUUUGGUUGUAGAGGCAGAAUGCGAAGUGGUUCAAGGAAAACCCAUCCCAACGCUAUGGACCGCCCUCAAAAGCAUACUCUGUGUAAGUCUUUCCUUAUUAUUAUUAUAUAAAAUAUAUAUAUUCAUGUACAUAUUGCUAACCUGGCAAUUGGCAAUGCUUAACAUGUGGAUGAAUCUUGUUUUAUAUUAGAAGCAAACAAAUACAUAAGAUCGCUUAAUCGCAUAAUUAAGGAAGAAUGAUCUUUCUUGGAGUUAGCUUAUUUUAUAUUAUCAUGAUGUUCAUGAUGGAAGUUGCGAAAAAAGACUUUUGCCUUGGACUGUGGUUUUAGGAUUUAUUUUAAAUCUUUUUAAUAAUCACCCCCCAUCUCUUUAAGUAAGGGUUAAGUGAAGUUAAUCUUCAUCCACAGUCCAAAUAAACUUUGGGUUUUGCUAAUUUUAAUAGUAAGUAACAUGGUUACUGAGUCUGUCUCAUGUAACAAAUAAUCAUAAUUGCAUUGUGUGAAUGUUUGUAAAAUAAAUCAUAUUUUAAGAGGUAAGAGAUCUCAAGUUCGAAUCUAGCUUAGGACGGGUCAUGAUACUACUUUUUCUUUCUAAGUAUUUAAAAAUUCUAAUCCCAAAGAGAACUGAAGGUGAUGCCAAUUGUUACAACAGGGUAUAACACAGAUAAUUGGUUGCAAGCCUCAAGCAUACAAAUUAGAGAUUCUCAAAGGUGUCAGUGGCAUCAUCAAGCCAUCAAGGUUAAUAAUAAUAUAAAUCCUUUUUCUUCUAUUUUUCUUGACAUGAAGAAGUAAGAGAUUUAUGGAGUGGUAUUUCAUGCAGGAUGACUCUAUUGCUUGGCCCUCCAGGCUGUGGGAAGACCACUUUCUUACAGGCACUUGCUGGGAAACUUAACCACUCUCUCAAGGUUUUCUAAUCAUUUACUAAACCUAUACAAAAGCUAGCUUAACUUAUAUGUGGGCAAAUUUAGCAACAGCAAAAAAAACAAAAAUAAAAAAAAAUCAAUCAGAUGUACAUUUCUGACUUAGAAACAGAACAAUGAGCUGACUAGCUCUAAAGGUCUGAUAAAUGUAUCCAUAAAUUUCUAGGUCCGAGGAGAAAUUACCUACAAUGGUUACAAGUUCAAUGAGUUUGUUCCUCAGAAGACAUCAGCUUAUAUAAGUCAAUAUGACUUGCACAUUCCUGAGCUGACUGUGAGGGAAGCACUCGACUUCUCAGCACGUUGCCAGGGUAUUGGAAACAGAGCAGGUAGGCCAAUUUGUGCUUUUUAUUAUGGCCAAGAAUCAUAAUCUUUAAAACUAGUUUCAAUUCGUCUUAUAUAGAAGCUUUUUUUCUCCAUUGAAGAUAUAAUGAAAGAAGUCAGCAGAAGGGAGAAGCAAUCAGGAAUUGUCCCAGAACCAGACAUUGACACUUAUAUGAAGGUAUGAAUUUUUCAGAAUAGAAGUUUCCAAAUUAGUCCAUUUCUUGUUGGCAAUCACUGAUGACAACUUCGCUAACAGGCCAUUUCAAUUGAAGGGUUGAAAAACUCCCUCCAGACUGACUAUAUAAUGAAGGUAAUUCUCAUAGGACCAAGUCCUACCCCUUCUCUAAUUAACAGGAAGUUUGAUACAAUUUGUUUUUCUUUUGUUAGAUUCUUGGGCUAGACAUUUGUGCUGAUACAAUCGUAGGCGACGCAAUGCAAAGAGGAAUUUCGGGUGGUCAGAAGAAAAGACUGACAACAGGUUUUGCAAAUUACUGAUAAAUUCUGUUCAUAUAACAUUGUUACAAUUAAAGUUUAUACUCUCAUCAUAUACUAAAGUUUCUUGAUCUUUUCCUCCCUUAGGGGAAAUGAUGAUUGGUCCAGCAAGAGCUUUCUUCAUGGAUGAGAUAUCAACAGGCUUAGAUAGUUCCACUACCCUUCAGAUUGUUACUUGUUUGCAGCAACUGACACACGUAACAGACUCCACCAUUUUGGUAUCACUUCUUCAGCCAACACCGGAGACCUUCGCUCUCUUUGAUGACAUUAUCUUGAUAGGAAAAGUUGUGUAUCAUGGGCCUUGCAAUAAUGUUGCAGAGUUCUUUGAGCAGUGUGGUUUUCGCAGCCCACCGAGAAAAGGCAUUUCUGACUUCCUGCAAGAGGUGGUUUCUCGAAAGGAUCAGGCAAAGUACUGGUACCAUGAAGACCAACCCUACAGUUAUGUUACAGUUGACAAGUUUGUAAAUAUGUUCAAGGAUUUUCAUGUCGGAAAGAAGCUAGAUGAGGAACUUCGCAAGCCUUUUGACAAAUCUGAGUGCCACAAAGAUGCUUUAUCAUUCAACAUCUACUCAUUAAGAAAAUGGGAACUAUUAAAAGCAUGUACUGCUAGAGAAUGGCUUCUUAUGAAGCGCAACUCGUUUGUUCAUGUGUUCAAGUCGGCACAGGUAAUGGAUAGUUGUGACAAUAGGUUAAUUACCAAACAACUACUUAAAUAAUCAAACAUUUACACACUUGGAUUAUUUCAUUUUGCAGCUUGUCGUCGUUGCGCUAGUAACAAUGACAGUUUUUUCACGUACAUGGAUGAAUAUUGACGAUGUCCAUGCAAAGUACUACAUGGCUUCUUUGUUCUAUGCUCUCAUUAGACUGAUGAGCAAUGGGAUUGCAGAGUUAUCAAUGACUGUCUCCAGACUUGCAGUCUUCUACAAGCAAAGAGAUUUCUACUUUAAUCCUGCAUGGGCUUAUUCCAUUCCAGCUACCAUUCUAAAGAUUCCAUUUUCAUUGCUAGAUGCUUUUCUUUGGACAUCCCUUACUUAUUAUGUCAUUGGUUACAGUCCUGAGCCCGAAAGGUACAUCAAUUCUUUGAGGCUAAAUUGCUCACUCUUUCUUUUUUCCUUUGUGGCUUUCUAAAUGCAUUUGUUUUCAUCGAAUGUCAGGUUCUUCAAGCAAAUCAUUAUUCUAUUCCUUGUGCAUCAAGUAUCAAUAUCAUUUUUUCGUCUGAUCGCAUCCUUGGUUCGAACUCCCUCUGUAGCAGCAACCAUUGGUCUUUUCUCCUUAAUAGUAAUGUUUCUAUUUGGUGGCUUCAUAAUUCCAAAAUGUAAGGAAUGUCACUGGUGAUUUCAGUAGAAAUUUGAAAAUUUUGUGCCAUUUCACUCAAUCUAAUAAGCAUUUCCCAAAUGCAGCUUCCUUGCCUACUUGGUUGGAGUGGGGCUUUUGGCUUUCUCCACUAACAUAUGGAGAAAUAAGUGCUUCAGUAAAUGAAUUUCAUGCUCCAAGGUGGCAAAAGGUAAAGGAGGAAAUCAUAUAAAGGAGCUUAAUUUGUGUUGAGAGUUAAUAUUCACUGGUUGUUGUUCCUUGCAGGUUUUAUCUUCAAAUGUCACUAUAGGCCAGCGAGUUCUGGGAAACCGUGGUCUCAAUUUCAGUGACAGCUUUUAUUGGAUAUCAAUAGGAGCUUUACUUGGAUUUUGGAUGGUUUUCAACAUUGGGUUCACCUGUGCACUCAGUUAUUUAAAAUGUAUAUCUCUAUACCAAAGAAACUAUUAGGAAACGUAUGCCAGAUUUAAUUCUGUAUACCAAUUUAAUUCUCACCUUUGAAGAUUUUACUGACAUUUGACAUUUGCAGCUCCCGGAAGUUCUCGAACUAUCAUUUCUCAUGAAAAGUUCUCCCAUCUGAAGGAAAAAGAAAAUUUAGAUAAUUCCUGCCAAGAAAAAGAAUUAACUUGUGUAGAUACUCACAUAACUGCUGCAGAAGCUACAAGUAUAGGUGAGAUGCUUCUUCUUACUAUCCUUUUGUACUUGACAUCAUUAAAAAAUAAAUUUGCUAAACUACAAAUAAUGUUUGUACAUCAGAAAGCAAGCUAUAUAUCACAAAUUUUACAGGCAUGGUCUUACCCUUUGAGCCCAUAAGUAUAUCAUUUCAGAAUGUGCAAUACUUUGUUGAUACACCCAAGGUGAGUACACUCUUUAUGAGUUCCUGAUUCUACAAGAGAGUUGUAUUUGAAUCAAGCUGAUCAGAUUCAGAUUUCACCCUUAUAUCCCCCAGAAAAUGAGAGAGCAAGGUUUUCCUCCACAACGACUACAGCUUCUUCAAGACAUAACUGGUGCAUUUAGACCUGGAAUUCUUACAGCUUUGAUGGGAGUUAGUGGAGCUGGAAAAACAACACUGAUGGAUGUCCUUUCUGGAAGAAAAACUGGUGGAAGUAUUGAAGGAGACAUUAGAAUUGGAGGGUACCCAAAAGUACAAGAAACAUAUGCCAGAAUAUCUGGGUAUUGUGAACAAAGUGACAUACAUUCUCCACAGAUUACAGUAGGAGAAUCUGUACAAUACUCGGCUUGGUUACGCUUGCCAGCGCAGAUUGAUAGACAUACAAGAUCUGUAAGAUUCCAUUAAAACUUACAAAGCAUGUAGUAUGUCAAACAUAAUACUUCAAAUCUAAGAAUUAGACCUGGAGCUAGUUUUCUUAGACAUAAAGAUACUUCGAGUUUGUCUAUUUGUAACUUAGAACCAAGAAGUUAGCAUGGAGUAACAACAUAGCUUCCAUAAACUGAACAUAUUUUCAUAAAUUUAUCUCUAUAAAUCUCUCAGAAAAAAUAUACAUACAUACAUAUACACACGUCUGUAUAUUGUUUGUAGCGAGAACAUAUAGGGGAAAGAACAAAAAACCUUUCAAGGAAUGCCUUAAAGACUUUUAUAAAGAUAAAAAAUUCUUCUAGUUAUAAAGAUUUCCUGAUGUUUUGAGUUGUUCUAUCUAUUUAUCAGCAAUUUGUGAAAGAAGUUCUUCAAAUGAUAGAGCUUGAUGAAAUCAAAGACGAAUUAGUUGGCAUAUCUGGUGGUAGUGGUAUAUCUGCAGAGCAACGCAAAAGGCUGACAAUAGCAGUAGAGCUUGUUUCAAAUCCAUCCAUAAUAUUCAUGGACGAACCGACCUCUGGUUUAGAUGCCAGAGCAGCUGCUAUAGUUAUGAGAGCUGUGAAAAAUAUUGUCAGUACAAGGAGGACUGUUGUAUGCACAAUUCACCAGCCAAGUAUUGACAUAUUUGAAGCAUUCGAUGAGGUAAUUGACUAAUAUAAUUCUAUACAUGAAAAAAGUUACGAAUUUUUUGCUAAACAGGGCAAAUAAUAUAUCAGUUGAUACUUUGUACAGCUUAUUUUGAUGAAAAGAGGAGGACAAAUAAUAUACUACGGAGAGCUAGGCCAAAAUUCAAGUAAGCUUAUUGAAUACUUUGAGGUAAGUUACUUAAUAACUCUUAACACUCUUUUCCUUUAUUUUCAUAAUCUAGUUCCACAGGUCAAUUCUGUCAACUCUGCAUUUUAACUCACCUUCUGUUACAGGGUAUUCCCGGGGUUCCGAAAAUUAAAGAGAAUUACAACCCAGCAACAUGGAUGUUAGAGGUCACCGGUCUUUCUGCAGAAGCUCAAAUUGCCAUAGAUUUUGCUCAUAUCUAUAGAGGAUCACAUCUAUGCCAGUGAGUUUACUGCAUUAGCAUAUACAACAUAUGAGCUUUUAGGCAUUGUUAACAUGCUAAAGUUUUGCAUUAAUAGAUUUCCAAGACUCUAAAUUAAGCACAAAGUUUGUUUGGCAGUCCAGUGGCUUAAACAUCAAUGCUCAUGCUAUGCUUACUUUUCGCACACUUCUUGCUCAUGUUUCUAGAUUAACUAAUGCUCAAACCCAAUGUUUCUUGUUCUAUUCAGGAAGAACAACGAACUAGUUAGAGAACUCAGCUUUCCAGAACAAGGCUCAAAGGAAUUACAUUUUUCUACUCGCUUUCCACAAAAUGGAUGGGAGCAAUUCAAAGCAUGCCUAUGGAAGCGGCAUCUCUCCUACUGGAGAAGUCCGAGAUAUAACCUGGGGAGAUUGAUAUUUACUGCUGCAUGUUCUUUGUUAUUUGGAGCACUUCUUUGGCAGAAAGGACAGAAAAUGUAAGUCCAUUUAACAGAGAUAAUAUCAUUUAAUUUCUUACAUCAAUGAAUUACUAGAAGACCAUCAACGAACCUAGCAGUAACGAAAAAAAAUGUUGGUGUCACAUUUUAAACUAGAGGUUAAUAUAUCUACCAUCUAAAACACAGUUUUUCCUUUGUUCCGAAGAGAUGGCGAACAGGAAUUUUUCAACAUUCUAGGAUCAAUGUUUGUUUUACUUCAAUGCAUGGGAAUUGGCAAUUGUUCCUCUGUUUUACCAUUCAUAGCUACUGAGCGCAAUGUUGUAUACCGAGAAAGAUUUGCUGGAAUGUACUCGUCGUGGGCAUAUUCGUUUUCACAGGUACAUUCCAAAUUCAUUCCUAGAGCAUAAUAUUUUAGCAACUCCAAAGUUUGAUAUGAGAUUCAAAACUAUAAAGGGUUUAACAAAACUCUUCCAAAUGUUGCAGGUGAUCAUAGAAAUUCCAUAUAUAUUGAUACAAGCAGCUUUGUUUUCGACAAUUACGUAUCCAGCCAUAGAUUUCCAAUGGUCACUCUACAAAGUAUUUUGGUAUUUCUAUGCUAUGUUUUCUACAUUCCUCUACUUCAAUUACUUCGGUAUGUUGCUUGUUUCUCUGACCCCAACUUAUCAAGUGGCUUCAGUAUUGGCAAGUUUCUGCUACACUAUGUUCAAUUUGUUCUCGGGUUUCCUCUUACCUGGACCAGUAAGCUAACUCUCUCUUUACUUGUUCAACAUGAAAGGAGUUUGCAUAUACUAGUAUACGAAAACCCUGAGAAAGUUUCCAUGCAAUUGAUUUUGAAACUUUCUUCCCUAUUGCAGAAAAUUCCUGUAUGGUGGGUUUGGGGAUACUGGAUUUGCCCUCUUGCCUGGUCCUUAAAAGGUGCUCUCACUUCACAGUAUGGAGAUGUAGAGAAGGAAAUAGUAGUGCAUGGAGAGCAAAGGACAAUCAGUGCCUUCUUGGGAAGUAUUUAUGGGUACAACUAUGAUGAUCUAGGAGUUGUAGCAAUUGUUCUUCUUGCAUAUCCACUAGUUUUUGCACUUGUUUUUGCAUGUGCUACAGAAAAAAUAAACUUUCAGAGGAGGUAAUUAUGCCUUCCACCUGCUGAAGCUCUGUAAUGCAUAUAUGUAGUAUCCAAUUCAAUAAACUUCAACGUUGAGGACACGAUUGCCCCACAAUGGCCAUUUCAAAGUUUAUCCUAGUUAAUUUGAGGUUCUAGUAAGUUUUUUUUUUCUUUUCUUUUGGUCCUAAGUAGUUUCUUCCUUCCCACUAAAAAUCGGGCACAUAUUAUUCAACUGUAUCAAGCCAUCAGCAGUGUUCGAAAAAUCGGCCGAGGCGCUAGGCGGGCUCCUAGGCGCUAGGCAGGAGAACACCGCCACUAUAUCACCCUAAUCUAUGAGUGUGUCUCGAUUUUGAAAUAAUAAUCAAUAAAUACAUUGAACCAUGAAGAUUUCGGAAAAUGAAAAGUAAAAAAAACAAGGGAACUUACAUUGACGUUCCGUGGAGAUGGAUUGCGCCGAUCAGAGAAAACCCUAACCUUAGCUUGAUCCAUGCAAAGAAGGAAAGUUCAGAGUGUUUGUAUUCCAAUACAGAGCAGCCGAGCGGCUAUACUCUGUAAAUAUUUAAAUGUAUAGCCGGGCGGCUAUAGUCUUUAAAUAUUAAAAUACAUUUAAAAAGUAUAGCCGGGCGGCCAUACUAUUUAAAUAUUCGAAUAUAUUUAAAAAGUAUAGCAGCCCGGCGAUACUCUUUAAAUAUUCGAAUGUAUUUUAAACGUAUAGCCGCACGGCUAUACUCUUUGAAAAUUUGAAUAUAUUUAAAAAGUAUAGCCGGUCGGCUAUACUGUUUAAAUAUAGAAAUACGUAUAUAUUUCCUUCUAUGGAGGUUGAGCCCAGGCAGGCACAAGAGUAGCGCCUUAUAUGACUCGUAUGAGCUCCGAGCUGUGACUCACUAACUUAACGAAUCCAUUGAUGUUGAACAAGGUUCAUUUACAACCAUGCUUCAACUCGAAGCAUCCUAUCAAAACCACAAAAAAGAAAGAUUCAUGUGGUGAUAUGGUGGUAUACACCAUGUCAAUAUUUCUGAAGGAAAGAGAAGGAAACUUCUAAGUCAGCCUCAGAGCCAUUUCUUGAAGAAGAGCUCGCUUCUGCACAGCACUUAUUACAUGGCAGCUGCAUGACCAAGGGGCUCGGCAUUCUCAAGAACAUCAGUGAUAAUGGCAGCUGCAUGACCAAGGGGCUCCUCAGCCCCUCUUCAACAUGAAGGCCUGCACACCACCACAUGAGACAAUAUGACAAAGUAGAGAAAGGUUUAUAUAUAAACUGAUUGUCAUUGGAAGAGAAUCUAUAGGAACUAGCGCAAGUAAAGCCUAAAUUUCAUGAAACUAAUCAUCAUUUUGUCCACAGAGAGAGAGAGAGAGAGAGACCUGGCCAUGAUGGGAUAUAGCCAAUGUACAAGGCUCCCCAUCAACCCGAACAGGGAAUGCAGCAAAGAGCUGUAUCUUAAUUGACUGCCCUUGUGCAAGCCUUCGAGUCCAGACAAAUUUUUUUUUGUUGCCUUUUUUUCCUACAGAAGAAAUCCAAUUAACAGUAACAGUAUGUUAUUCAUAGAGACUGAAAUUAAUUAAAAUAUUUCUGAAAUUAAGUAAAAUAUUUCAAUACUAAUUACUGACUAAAGAAAUAAUACCUUAAAACUAAUUACUAAUCAAAGUAAUUAAAUAAGGGUAAUAUAUUACUUAAUUACAAAUGUAAAACUAAACAAACUAAUUUGAAAGAAUUUUUUUAAAACAAAUUCAACAAAAAAAUUUAAAAUAAUUAAUUACUAUAUAUUGAGUAAUUUAUGAAAUUAAUUAAAAUAUUUAAAUACUAAUUAUUCACUAAAUAAAUUAUAAUUGAAAUAUAAUUAGUAAUUAAAUAAGGCUGAGAUAUUUCUUAAUUACAAAUAAUUAAACUAAAAAAACUAAUUUUUUUUUAAACAAAUAAAAAUAAAAUAGGUAUAUUCGAAUAAAUAUAAAAUAAAGUAAUAAAAAAAUAAAUGUUCGAAUAUAUUUAAAACGUAUAGCCGCGCGGCUAUACUCGUUAAAUACUAAAAUAAAAUUACAGAGUACCGCCGCUCGGCUAUACUCGUAAAAUAUUAAAAUAUAAUUAAAGAGUACAGCCGCGCGGCGAUACUCUUUGAAUAUUAAAAUAUAGUUAAAGGGUAUAGCCGCCCGGCUAUACGCUUUGAAUAUUAAAAUAAAAUUACAGAGUAUAGCCGCGCGGCUAUACUCAUUAAAUAUUAAAAUAUAAUUAAAGAGUACAGCCGCCUGGCUGUACGCUUUAAUUAUACUUUUAAACCACAGAAAUUUAAACCUUAAACCUUACUUAAAGACCUCACUUGGCUAAACAAAUGGAGGCAAAUAUAUUUUUCCAACUAAUCAAGAUAGUAGAGAAAUCAAACCUGAACAGGAUUGCGAAGAAUAUUCAAUCGUUGCCCCAGUGAAUUCCCACACUGAGCUCCACUCUUCUUGUUGAUAAAAAGUAAAAACUAACAAGGGUCUUGCAUCUGGUGACAAAUCAAACAACUAGGAUUUUUGUUUCAUCAUUCUUAUUGCUUGACGAGCUCCUUUUGAAACUAGGCUUAGAAUCCAAUUUCCUAUCUACAUCACCAUCUUGGUGCUGCAAAUCCACAUUUACAGUAUCAUUACGGUUUUCCUCAAUUUCAUGAGAACCAUUAACAGCUUGAUGAGUAUCAACUGCGCUUUCUGUGGACAUUACUACCACUAUUUCCCUUGUCAACAGAGGUUUCAUUUCCAUGCUUGGACUUGUUGCUCUGACUCCUAAUAGUUGCACGUACUGAAGAUGCUAUUUCAUUGGGGCCCUGAGUAAUGGAGCUCAAAAAUCCACCAGCGGAAGUCUGGCUCAAUUCCUUUACAUGAAGAGGGUUCUGAAUGGAACUAAAUCACAAAUAUGACCUGUUUCAUUGGACAUGCUACUGUGGCAAUCCACAUGUACCAGUCUUUGACACCACAGGCAGCACAUUGGGGAUCCACCAAGAAAAGACCCAUGUAAUAGCUGCAGAAAGAAGUUUCAUCAGGUUGAUAUGUUACCUCAUUCCAACGGACAGCCCAUUGGUGCAUCACAUGCUUGGAUACACACUUGCAAUCCUUGUGCGCACUAGAAGAGCAGCUUAGGUGAGGUGCUGCAACGGACUAAAAUUGUCUGAAGCUGUCAUAAGCCCAGGAGUUUGAGAAGGGCUCAUGGACUUUAAGCAAACACAGCAAUUCAAGUUCUCUCCACAAGAUACCGAUUCUAAAACCCAAGUAUGAGGAGCUAUAGGAACUUUGUGACCUGCCUCUGGAUUUUUCUUUGACCUGGCUAUUGCUUUCAUCCAACUUAGAUUGAUAUUUCUCCUCCAUUGGCUAUAGUCAAAAUUCCAACUAGAGCAGCGAUAAGGCAGUUGGAUUCUUGUUGUUCCAAUUGGAGAAAAAAAAUAUCAAUGUCACCAUCAUGAUCCAUCCUCAAUGACUACUUGUAUGAUCUACAUUCACAUUAGCAUCAAACUGCCCAAUCCCAGUUUAAUUAGGCUCAAACUCAUAUAUCCUCCAAUAUGGUUUCAUUUCAUCAUUCAAAAACAUUAUCAAAAGCCUUAAACUCAUUUGACAACCCAACUCAUCAUCCUACUUAAUUCAUCAUGUGUAAGUGCAACAAAGAGUCCAACAAUGCUUUUGAUAGGUGCUACUUACUGUAACCGCUUCAACCUGUAAAAAACUGAAAACGUUUCACAAGUAAAACAAAUAUUAUUCCAAAUACAAAGCAUGAUUAGUUUCAUAUCAAAAUUCAGAGAGAUACAAAAUACAUGUAAACAUGAAGGAAAUACAAAGUCCACCACAGUUGCAUCAAAAUUUAGUGAUAUUUUAAUUUAAAUGACGAAACACCUCCAUCUUUAGAGACCAAAGCAACACACAAAACCUGCUUCAUACUUCACUUUCUAUUCCAAUUUCUCGGAAACCAAACGGAAUAGUCUAAAAGCAAAGCAUAUCUAUGAGUGUGUCUUGAUUUUGAAAUAAUAAUCAAUAAAUACAUUGAACUGUGAAUUUCAGAAAAUGAGAAGUCAAAGUUUUUGAAAAAACAAGAAGGAACUUACAGUGACGUUCCGUGGAUGACGUCGCCGAUCAGAGAAAACCCAAGCCUUAGCUUGAUCCACGCAGAGAGGGAAAGUUCAGAGUGUAGGAAUCGAAGCAGAACCCAAAUCUUUUGAUUGAUUUUUGGGUUUCUUUAGCUCUAAUUUGUAUAUAUAUAUAUAUAAUGUAUAGCCGAACGGCUAUACUAUUUAAACUUUAAAUAUUAAAUAAAUACUAUUUAAAUAUUCGAAUACAUUUAAAACGUAUAGCCGAGCGGCAAUACUAUUUAAAUAUUAAAAUAUAUUGAAGACGUAUAGCCGCACGGCUAUACUAUUUAAAUAUUCGAAUUUAUUUACGAGAUAUAGCUUUAAAUAUUAAAAUUGAAGAAGUAUAGCCGUUCGGCUAUACUAUUUAAAUAUUCGAAUUAUUUACGAGGUAUAGCCGCGCGGCUAUACUAUUUAAAACUUAAAUAUUAAAAUAUUGAAGUAUAGCCCCUCCUAUGCUAUACUAUUUAAAUAUUCGAUAGCCGCCCGGCUAUAAUAUUUAAAUAUUCGAACGUAUUUAAAACGUAUAGCCGUUCGGCUAUACUAUUUUAAAUAUUAAAAUAUAUUGCAGAAGUAUAGCCGCUCGGCUGUACUAUUUAAAUAUUCGAAUAUAUUUAGAAAGUAUAGCCGCACGGCUAUACGCUUUAAAUAUAAAAAUAUGUUUAUAUUUCUUUCUAUGGAGGCUGAGCCCGUGUAGGCACAAGGAUAGCACCUUCUGUAUGAGCUCCAAGCUGUGACUCACCAACUUAACAAAGCCAUUCAUGCUUCAAUUCACCCUUCUACACAGCUUGUGUCGCAUUUCCGAACAAAAUGUCAAGACACCUGAGAGAAAAAUGAAGCAAGGAUUUCUCAAGAACAAGCCAAGGAAUGACUGAUUUCAAGUCCUCUCCCCUCCCCAACUUGUCUGGGGAGUACAGAAAUUGCUGGUUUUUCUUCAUUUUCUUAUUAACAUAAUCAAAUGGAAUCAGAUAGAAAAAAGAUUUUGUUUUUCGGCUUCUUUGUAUUGUCUUCGCUGGUUCUUUUAUCUGACAAAACAGAACCCCACUUGUGUUUUGGUUUGUUUUUUUUCUUCUUAACUUUUAAGGCAUAUAUCAUUUGGUCGUUGAGUUCAAAUUGUCAACUUGCCGCAUUCUAUUCUUGUACGUCCGAUAUUGUCGAGUAAAGUCAACCAUGACGAACCAGCCAGAAGUUGCUGCAUUCCUAUUGUUUAUUAUAUAAAGUUUGUAUUUUUAUUGAUUUCCCUGAUCUUUAAUAUCCAUGGAUUUUCAAAAAAAGGAAAACGUCAACUGUUUCUGGGGAUAAAGACAACAACCCAGGGUUGAUUUGCACCAAAGCUAUUAUGGAAUAAUUGAACUUAUUAUUUGAAGUGGGGUAAGGAUACCUUCUUAGUUUAACAUAUAUUUGGAACCAUGAAAAUCUAGAGAGAGAAAACCAACUGGGUAGUUGAUUCUGUGGAGAAUAUUGCAUUUUGUUGUUUAUUUGUUUUGUUCAUUUUUGGGCCACUGGUUGAUGGUACAGUAACCGGAUCAUUCAAUUCUCUAUUGGAAAGAAAGAGAGGUGGGUUUUGUUUUGAAAGAUGAGUGGAAUUUUUAGUACUAUUGUCGUCUUCGUGUUCUGUAACCUGCUGCUGCUGCUCACUGAUUUUUCUUCUUCGCAUCCCUUGUGUACUAAUAUGAGUAAGUGUUUCUUUGUUAACAUCUUUUAUCUGGUUUUCCUUUUCUUUUGUUAAUGGCUUAAUGCUUUGUUUGGUUGUGCCAAAAAAGACAGAAUUUUGCAUUCCUAUAACGCACUAAUCCUUUUCAUUAGUUUGGUUCAAAGUUUCAUUUCUUUGUAAGUCACUGAUUAGUUUCUUUGUCUGCUUUGUUGAAAUAGGGUCACCCUUCACCCCAAAGGCCCCACUUACUUUCUGUCAAUACAAUGGUAGUGUUUGCUGUAAUUCUACUGAGGAUAUGCAAUUGCAGAAUCUAUUUAAAACAAUGGAUGUUUCUGAUCUUGGUUGUGCUUCUCUUGUGAAAUCGAUACUUUGCUCGGUAAGAGAAUCGUAUAACUUCGUUAAAGAUAUAAUUUUCAUUUAGUAUCAGCACCUUUUUACUUGUUAUUACUAGCUACUGCUGUUAAGUGUUAUGGAACCAUUGGGCACCAGUUCAUGUGUAUUUGAAUCCCACAUGCUUUGCAGAGAUGUGAUCAGUUUUCUGCAGAGCUAUAUAGGAUUGAAUCAGUACCUCGUAAAGUUCCUAUUCUCUGCAACUCAACCGUUUCACCAAACUCAAGACAGUACCAACAUGGUGGAGUUGACUUUUGUUCCAAUGUCUGGGAUGAAUGCCAAAAUGUGUCUCUAUUAAAUUCUCCAUUUUCAAUGCAAGUUAGAGGUGGAACACCAUCUAUUUCUACUUCCAAGCUGAGUGAUAUAUGGCAGUCAAAAAAUGAUUUCUGUAACACAUUUGGUGGAUCCUCAGAAAGUGAGUUGUUCUGUUUUGACGGCGGACCUGUGUUGCUAAACAAUUCUGAAAUUCCAACUCCCCCAAGUGGUAUGUGCCUUGAAAAAAUUGGAAAUGGAUCUUAUCUUAACAUGGUAGCUCAUCCUGAUGGAUCAAAUCGUGUCUUCUUAUCUGACCAACCGGGUAAAGUAUGGAUGGCAACUGUUCCUGAGGAGGGAUCAGGAGAAAUGUUGGUGAUUGAUAAAUCAAAUCCAUUUCUUGAUUUAACUGACGAAGUGUAUGCUGAUACUGAGUUUGGAAUGAUGGGAUUAGCAUUUCAUCCUAACUAUGUGCAAAAUGGCCGUUUCUUUGCUUCAUUCAACUGUGACAAGGUUAAGUGGCCAGAAUGUUCGGGUAGAUGCUCAUGUAACUCAGAUGUGGGAUGUGAUCCUUCAAAGCUGGGUUCUGAUAAUGGUGCCCAGCCAUGCCAGUAUCACAGUAUCAUAGCAGAGUUCACUGCAAAUGGUACCACGUCGCAACCUUCCUCGGUAAAUUUCUGCAUAAUUUUAAAUAGUUUUUUCUUGUAAUUGUCAGCAGUGAUCCUAAUUGAUACUGUUUUGGUCUGUAUUUCAGGUUACUAGUGUAAAACCACUGGAAGUCAGAAGAAUUUUCACUAUGGGCCUUCCAUUUACUUCCCAUCAUGCAGGUCAAAUUUUGUUUGGACCUAAAGAUGGGUUUCUGUACUUCAUGAUGGGAGAUGGUGGGAGCAUAGGCGACCCAUACAAUUUUUCACAAAACAAGAAGUCCUUGCUUGGAAAGAUUAUGAGGCUUGACAUAGAUAACUUGCCAAGUGAGUAAUGACUUAAACUUACAAGGCUUCAGGACACCAUAUUCUCUGUGUGUGUGUGUGUGUUUUUUUUUCUUUCUCAUGUAUGCAAAUACUUGUUUGCAGGUGCAAUGACAAUUACCGACCUUGGCCUGUGGGGAAAUUACUCUGUUCCUGGAGAUAAUCCAUUUUCUGAGGAUAAGGAAUUGCAGCCUGAAAUUUGGGCUUUGGGAUUUAGAAAUCCUUGGCGAUGUAGUUUUGAUCUCGAAAGGCCUUCCUACUUCCUUUGUGCAGAUGUUGGUCAGGUUCGGGACAGCAACUGAGACUAAUUUUCCGAUGUUUUAUAUGUUCUUUUGAGUAGGUGCUAAUCCAUUUUGGACUAUUUUGAGAAAACCAUAUAUGCAUUAAAGCAUGUCAUUAUAUGCCUCAGACGAAGGAUGUCUUACAAAAUUGCAGCCAAAAAUACAAUAGCUUGGUCAGAUUUGAGAAGAGUUCUGGUCAUAUGAUUGCAUUAUGUUCUCUAUCCAUGCAGGGGGGGCUGCAAACCAUAUGAUUCUCACAUUUUGUCCCUCAACCAAGGAUUAAGCUUUCAUUAGUUCAUUUACCUUCACUAUGUAUAGCUCUUUUUUCUUCGACACGUGCAUGUUUUCUGCACAUUCUUUUUCUUGUUGUUGCAAACUUCUCAACAUUUAUCCUUUUUCGUUUUUGUUCCGGGUAUCAUCAGUGCUUAAAAUAAUGGUUUUAUAGGAUCAAUAUGAAGAGGUUGAUAUAAUCACCAAGGGUGGAAACUAUGGAUGGCGUAUCUAUGAGGGUCCUUCUCCGUACAAUCCCCCAAAAUCUCCAGGAAGAAAUACAUCUGCCACCUCCAUUAACCCAAUUUUCCCUGUAAUGGGAUACAACCACUCUGAUGUGAACAAGGCUGAAGGAUCUGCAUCCAUCAUAGGCGGUUACUUUUACCGAUCCACAACAGAUCCAUGCAUGCAUGGAAGGUAAGCCAACCAUUUCCGAUUUCGAUAACCAAAAAGACUUCAUAAAAUUAUCUUUAACUUAAUCAGUCUGCAAAUUAUGUUUGCAGAUAUCUUUAUGCAGAUUUAUUUGCUGGCGGUAUAUGGACAGGCAUAGAAACUCCUGAAGACAGCGGAAACUUCACUAGCACUAAAAUUCCGGUGAGUUGUGCUCUGGACUCUCCUAUCCAGUGCAGUGCCGAGGCAGGAAGUUCUCUCCCUGCACUGGGGUUCAUAUUCUCCUUUGGACAGGAUAACAGAAAGGACAUCUUUAUCCUGGCCAGUUCCGGUUUAUAUAGAGUUGUUAGGCCUAGUCGCUGCAACUACACUUGCUCCAAAGAGAACGUUACAUCCUCUUCCCAUCCAAAAUCUGUUCCUUCUCCUGCUCCUUCCGCUUCAUGCACAAGAAGGCAGUUAAACAAUCCAUUUGUACUGGAGCUGCUCAUCUUCUUCUCUACAUUUUUUGGCUUUUUCUUGUAAUCUUUCCUUGGUUUUCAUUUUCACUUGCCUGCUUGGAUAUAUUGAUAUUUAUUUUUUGUAAUUAUGUUCGCAUUUUUGCCAAAAAUACUUGUAAUAUCGAAAAAAUUGUACCAAAAAUAAUUUGGAAGCCCAGAAAUUAUCCUUGUGGCUUUUCCACUUUACAUAAUUGUUAUCCAAUAUCACAGGAAGCCCAUAACCAAAAUGAUGAUUGAUUGAUGUCCGAACGAACUAUUGUAGGUUUUUUUUUUUCCCCUAAUACAAGCGAUAUUGAAGAAAGGGACUUCGAACACAAGAUCUCCCGCGUAAAAGUAAUUACCUUUAGCCAAUUAACUUGAGCUACAAACUCCUUACAACUAUCAUAGAUUUUGAUUUUGAAUGAAGUUCGGCAAAGUAAUAAGAUGUGAAAAUUUGCAAAUUUGAAGAAUAUGUAAAGUCGAUUCUACCCUACUAAAAGACAAAAUAAACAAGGUCAUUUGCAAAUCGUUCAAUUUUGCAAAUUUCUAGUCUUAAGUUGUGUUUGGGGUGAGCUGUAUUAUUAGUACGUUCCUUGUCGUCACUGUCGCCCCGCUUCUGUCUGUAAUUAGCAGAAGAAAGAAAGAAGCCAAACACAGCCUCUUUUUUUUGGUUCCAGGAAAAAAAGAAAAAUCAAAUCCACAGAUAAACGGUCUUCGUUUACAUGUAAUCAAAUCUUGUUCAACCAUGCAAGUCGGCAUAUCUUCUUCCUUCUCUCUUCCAUUACUGCCCCACAACAAAACCCAUAAUUACACCUCCAUACCCUUCACCUUCAAGGGGCGCGAAGGAAAACCCAGAGCCCGGUUCCCGCCUAUUGCAUUCUCAGCUUCUUCAACAACCAAACAUGUCUGGAGGAGAACGCCGCAACUCAAAACGACGCCGUCCUCUCCACCCUCCCACCAACUUACCCAGAAACGCCACCCCAGAAAUCAGCAAGGACCCUCCCAUUUGGACCACAGCAUUGACAUGGACGAGCUCUUGUCAUCAAUCGGUCAGACCCAAAACGAGCAAGAGCUGUAUUCUCUAAUGUCAACCUACAAAGGGAGGCAGCUCUCAAUAAGGUUCAUGGUUUCGCUGCUCUCGCGCGAGCCUGAUUGGCAACGCUCGCUCGCUAUUCUCGAUUGGAUUAACGAGGAAGCUCUGUACACUCCUUCUGUGUUCGCUUACAAUGUUGUGAUACGCAAUGUGCUUCGCGCCAAACAGUGGGAGAUUGCACACGGCCUGUUUGAGGAAAUGCGCCAAAGGGCGCUUGCACCCGAUAGGUACACUUAUUCAACUCUUAUUACGUCUUUUGGGAAGGCGGGUAUGUUUGAUUCUGCGCUUUCUUGGCUCCAAAAGAUGGAACAAGACCACGUCUCAGGCGAUCUUGUUUUGUAUAGCAACUUGAUUGAGCUAUCGCGUAAGUUAUGUGAUUAUUCUAAGGCGAUAUCGAUUUUUUCAAGGUUGAAGAGGCUGGGUAUUAUGCCGGACCUUGUGGCUUACAACUCGAUGAUUAAUGUGUUUGGGAAGGCUAAGUUGUUCAGAGAGGCUCGACUUCUGCUCAAAGAGAUGAGGGCAGUGGGUGUUUUGCCGGAUACAGUUAGUUAUUCGACGCUUCUAAGUAUGUAUAUUGAGAACCAAAAGUUUGUUGAGGCAUUGUCUGUGUUCUCUGAGAUGAAUGAGGUUAAGUGUCCCCUUGAUCUCACCACCUGCAAUAUUAUGAUUGAUGUUUACGGGCAGCUCGAUAUGGCUAAGGAAGCUGAUAGGUUGUUUUGGAGCAUGAGGAAGAUGGGACUUGAACCCAAUGUUGUUAGUUACAAUACUCUUUUGAGGGUUUAUGGCGAUGCUGAGCUUUUUGGGGAAGCCAUCCAUCUUUUUCGAUUGAUGCAGAGAAUGGAUAUUGAGCAGAAUGUUGUCACGUACAAUACGAUGAUUAAGAUUUACGGGAAGUCCCUUGAGCAUGAAAAAGCUACAAAUCUUGUGCAAGAAAUGCAGAACAGUGGGAUUCAGCCAAAUGCAAUGACAUACUCAACGAUUAUUUCUAUAUGGGGUAAGGCUGGGAAACUGGAUAGGGCAGCAAUGCUGUUUCAAAAGCUGAGGAGCUCCGGGGUUGAGAUUGAUCAGGUUCUUUAUCAGACAAUGAUUGUGGCGUAUGAGAGAGUAGGCUUGGUUGCUCAUGCUAAGCGUUUACUUCAUGAGCUCAAGCGCCCAGACAAUAUCCCUAGGGAGACUGCAAUCACCAUUCUUGCAGGAGCUGGUCGCAUAGAAGAGGCUACAUGGGUUUUCCGCCAGGCUUUUGAUGCUGGGGAGGUGAAGGAUAUAUCCGUCUUUGGUUGCAUGAUAGAUCUUUUCUCAAGAAACCGCAAGUACGCAAAUUGCAUUGAGGUGUUUGAGAAGAUGAGAGUGGCAGGAUACUUUCCUGCUUCGAAUGUGAUUGAUCUAGUUCUCAAUGCUUUUGGAAAGUUACGGGAAUUCGAGAAGGCAGAUGCUUUAUAUAGGGAGAUGCAGGAAGAAGGCUGUGUUUUCUCUGAUGAAGUUCACUUCCAGAUGCUUACUCUCUAUGGUGCAAGAAAGGAUUUUAAGAUGGUAGAGGCACUGUUUAAGAGGCUGAUGUGUGAUCCUAACAUCAACAAGAAGGAGUUGCAUCUUGUUGUUGCCAGCAUCUAUGAAAGAUCAAACAGACUUAAUGAUGCAUCCCGGAUCAUGAACAAGAUGAAUGAAAGAGGAAUUUUGAAAUCAUGAACCUCUUUCGAAGUCCACAGCCUGUGUUUUAUAACUUUUCCCCUAUAACUGUAAAUGCGUAGUUCUGCUCGUUAUUCUGUAGAUAUUGUACUUAGUGACCAGUGCAUUCGCUGCAACAAAGUUAAAUUACCAGUAUGAUAGUAUCCACAUUUUGGACUCGGGAGUCAGAUGUAUGUUCUAUCUAUACAUACAUGCAGAAAUUAAUGUAACCCUGUUUCCUCCAAUUUCUAUGUGAAGGAUCUGAGAACUCUGAUAGCUGUUAGGCCAGUCCUUUUCUUUUCAUAAAUUGUAGAUUUGCUAAAGUGCUCUAAUUUAAUCAGGGAAGCGACUAAAGAUGGGGCUCUACACUAUUUUUAACCCCUUUUGAUUGGAGCCUGGCCUCUAUACAAUCAAUUUAGACUUUUGGUGCUGCUGAUACAUAAGAGGAAAUCAGAUGGGGAGUGGUCAGGUAAUCCUUAGCUUCACUUGCUAAGUUGCUAUUUCAUUUGAGAUCUGUCUUACCCAAAAAUUAUUUUUUUUUUUUUUGGGUAUAUUCCUGUAUAGAUAAUAUCUUGUUUGAGUUGAACUAAUCAAGGAUGAUUGUUGCCAGCAAGCUGAGAAGACUUUGGAGAAUCCUUUUCAGAAUCACUUCUGUGGAAAAGCUAAAGAAUUGGGGAUUGGUUUUGUUGCUCAAUUAAAGGCAUGUUUCUAUCUAAGCAAGUUAAAGUCUCCUGGUUACAAGUUAUGUUUUCAGUCUCGCCACAUGUUGUGCUGAUAAUUUCAGGUUGGUAAAUCAUGAUCCUAUUGAGAAAAAAAAAACCCCUAUGAUCUCAAUUAUUUCCUUCUACUGAUUUUCUGCCCUUGCUUCCCCUUUUUGCCGGUAGACAUAGUUAGUUAAAGCUUUUGAACUUAUUCUUCUAUAGCAUGUGAGCUUACAAGAGUUACCAGAGAUAUACCUUGCUCCAUAUUUAAGGUUUUGCAGCAUAUAUACAUGUUCAAACGUGCAUUAUACCACAACGCAUUGACAAACAUCCUUUAUCUUUUCGUAUCAUUUGCUGAUAAAACAUCCUAGAAAACUGAUAUUUAUUUUCUUUCUUUAUUGUGCAAGACCAAGAAUCUAUCUGUAUUAGAAUUUCAUGUCUGCAACAUGCUAUUUCAUUGCUGAAUAUUAAAGCCUGAAUCUCUAGGAGGCCCAACCUCAAGUUGGUGCAUGGUCAUCAUCUUAUCUGAUUUAUCCCUCGUGUCCAUGUCACUUCUACCCUAGAUGAUAUAAUUAAUGAACCAACAAGUCUUAGAUUUUAAGAGGUUAUGCCUGCCCCUUCAUGUUGGACGAUGGCCUACUUUCCAACAAAUGCUGCAGCUAGUUCACCAUAAACUCUCUCUUCUCUUAUACAAGCUAUACUCAAAAUUAUUCUAAAUUAAUCUAAUAGAUUCGAUUAAUUUCUAGGUAUGGUUGGUAGUUGAGGCUGGAGAGGGGUCCCCCCCAUCCCAAGUUGGGGUCCACAUGAAAUGUGAAUACUAAAUACUAAUCAUGUGGGUUAUUCAAGACGUGCCAUUGCAAAUUCGCAAUCAGCAUGCUAAACGCUCCUCCUAGCUUUUCAUGAUUAUAAUUUGCUGAAAGGGUCAUUUUCACUUUUCUUUGUGGUUACUCAGUCUACUUCCACACGUUAGCAAAGAGGAGGAGAGGAGGAAAGGAGGAGGAUGACGAAGAAGAAGAAAGCUGUUUGCUUCAACCUAAAAAAGAAAAUUUGACUAUCUUGCACGUGAACUUGCUUUGUUAGUUCUUUUGACAUUAAAAUAAACAAGGGAGAUUCACUAUAAUACGUAAUAUAGGAGCCCAAAUUAUAAAAUAAAAAAACUUAUAUGAAAUGGACUUUAGAAACACGCUCAAAGCUCAUUUACAACAUAAUAAAAAGGCUUUUAACUUCUUUUAAAUUACAAAACUAUCAUUGAUUUCUUAAAACAAAUCUAACUCCAAAACCUUAUAAAAAAGCCCAAAACAUUUAAUGAGGCAUCAAAGUAAUUUAAUAAUCAAAAUUAAAUUCAAUAGGUGUAGGGUUUAUUUUUUGGAUUUAUUUAUAGAAAUUAAAUGGUGUAAAGUUUAUUCAUAGUUUUAGUGCUAAAAAUGAGUAUAUGACUAAAUAUCUCGAUAAGUAAUGUCUAAACUCACUCCUUACUCUUUUCAGAAAUUUUCUCCUUCAGAUUGGGGACUCUUCGCAUAUGUGCCAUGUUAUGUUAUGUAUUUUUAUUUUUUAUAUACUUCAAAAUUGUUUAUUCGUUGACGUGGGCAUUAUGAUUCCAAGUUUCGAACUCAUAGUUGACAUUAUAUAAAAUAAAAAUAAUAAUAAAAAAAUAAUAAAAAAAAAAAAGGGAUCCACAAUGACGUGAUGCAAUAAACUUAGUUCCGAGAGCAUAUUUGUUACUUAAAAACACAACUUGGAUGCAAGCGAAAAGAUUACCUAACUGGACGAAUGUUUAAAUUUUACGUUAUUGUCUUGGUUGACCCUAAACUUGUUGCAAAAGACCCCAAUUGUUUGUUAUAUACGGGUCAAACCUUCAAAAAUUAUUCUCAGGAUCUACCUUGAUUUUUGCGUUUUCCAUUAUUGAAUCCAAAUUAUGUAGUAAUAAGAAAUGAAAAAAAAAUAAAAUUUAAAAACCGCACAAUUAAUCCCAACAAGAAAAACCGAAAAAUGGAAUCCCAUUUUGUUUCAAGUUUGUUUUCUCUUUUCGGUUUAAACUAAAGUCCGAAAACGAGAAAACGACGUUUAAUAACUAUUCUUAUACCGUCAACAUGAGUACAAAUCACUCGCAUAGUUUUCCUUAUAAAACAGAAAGCAAGUCUUCAAAAAGGUUUUGUCCAAAAAAAAAAAAAAAGUCUUCAAAAAGUUAACAAACAAGGCCUAAAUCUUGUAAGGUAGCUUUGAUUUCUUUCCUAAAUUCCCGGUAGAAUUGAAAGCUUUUGAAGAAAACGCAUAUAUAGAUAAAUCCUCUAUUUUGUAAUAAUUGGAUUAGGCGACUUAGCGCUAUUGUCACGGCGAGUUGGCGAAAUUAGGCGUACGUAUGUUGCAACUUUUGUAGACUUCGGUUUCGUUUGUCCCUUAAUAAGACCCUUCUUCUGUAUGUGCAAAGCCAUUAAACAAAGCCCCUCUAAACUCAUCACUUAGCCCCUAACCCAACUCAGUUACUCAAAAUCUCAAACCGCAGAUUAAAUCAGUAACAGCAACACAAAACAAUUCACUAGUCACUAAUCACUUAUUUAAUCAACUCCCUCCUGCCCACCAAAAAUCAUCAUUUUCCGUCACUUUCCUUCCCAACAAGCAAAACACAUGUUAACAAGCUCCAUCUUCAACUUCAACCUCCUCUCUCUCUAAAAACAGCUCAAUUAAGCUUUUUGGAAGUUGGGGGGUCAGAGAGAGAGAGAGAGAGAGAUUUGGAAUUUUGGGUUUUCAGGAGCUGAACACAUGAAGAAGCUAAAGAGCUAUUACACGCAUCUGAGGCACCACCAGUCCAUGGAGCUCAAAUGGAUCUUCCCUUUGGCCAUAGGCUCCAUCGUCUCUCUCUUCCUUCUCUUCCUCACCACGCUCACUUCACCUGACGGCACGCCUCUGCUUCCCUUCUACCGCUCCUUUUCCAUCUCCAGCUCCGUUUUCAUCGAAUCCAAGCUCCACCCACUGCCCGUUUCUUAUCUCCCGCCUCCUCCGCGCUUCGCUUACUUCAUCUCCGGCUCCAAUGGCGAUGGCAAAAUGCUCAAGCGGACCCUUCAAGCCCUUUACCACCCUCACAACCGCUAUGUGGUUCACUUGGACCUCGAGGCACCGCCCGAGGAGCGUCUGGAUCUGCAGAAUUACGUUUCUACCCACCCUGUUUUUGUAAAGUUCGGCAAUGUGAAGAUGAUCACCAAGGCCAAUCUCGUCACUUACAGGGGUCCGACUAUGGUGGCCAACACGCUUCACGCUGCCGCUAUUUUGUUGAAGGAAGGCGGCGAUUGGGAUUGGUUUAUCAAUCUCAGUGCUUCUGAUUACCCACUUGUUACUCAGGAUGGUGAGUCUAUUGGGUUUUGGUUUUGGGAUUUUGGUCUAUCUUUGGUUGAUUUUGUUUCUAAUUUGACUAAUUGGUUGAUUAUCAAAAAAGAAAAAAAAUUGACUAAUUGGUUACUGGGUUUUGAUUAUUGUGGUUAAUUAGAUCUGCUGCACACGUUCUCAUACUUACCGCGCGAUCUCAAUUUCAUCGAUCAUACUAGCAACAUUGGGUGGAAAGAGUAUGCACAACUUCCCCUUUUCUUUGUUGUCUAUAUUUAUACAGUUUCUGUUUUUUCCCCUUUUUUUUUCAAUAAGUAAAGCUGUCUCAUCGAUUUGUAAUGCUGCAUGUUUAUAGGUACCAAAGAGCAAAACCGAUAAUUGUAGAUCCAGGGUUGUAUAUGACAAAAAAAGCUGAUGUUUUUUGGGUUACACAGCGAAGGAGUGUGCCAACAGCUUUCAAACUCUUUACAGGUACAAAUUUUUAGCAUGCCCCUAGACCAUAAAACAUGAUUAAAACCGAAGUUUCUAUUUUGAUUGGAUAAGAAAUGAAAUAGGAGUACUAACUUAGAGCACAUCAGAGCAAAGAUAGAAUCUUAUAUGUCACAUAGAAACCCAAACAUGACAAAAAUAUGUAAAAUUUAUACAUGUAUAGUUAGGAAUGGAAAUCAUUGUCCUUUUCUGUUUGGAUUUUCAGUUUUUUGAACUUGUUUAGUAGUCUAUAGAUUUGAAAAUUGGUAUAGAAGUAAACAGUUAUUUUGUCUUUAAAAAAUGUUUCUUGCUGGGUGUUCAAGUGCUAUGCAGAAGACAAUGAAAGUUUGUCAAUUUAUACCCUGCCUCUGUUUUUUGCGAUGUUAAAUGAAUUGGGAUGUCACAGAAAACAUGAGAUGCAUAAGCAGAGGCAACUUCUGAAGGAAAGAAGGAUGUCCCAGAGCUAUUAAAAAAAGCCAUUGAAACAAUUUUGAUCUACUGGAUGAGGCUAUAUAUCUCAACCCUCUAUGGUUAUUUUAUUGGAAAACUGAUUUCUAGAACAUCUUCUGAGUUAUGAAAAGAUGUCUUUUCAAUUUCAUGUAUCCCGAAGUGGAUAGAACAUCACAUUGAUGAGCCCAGAACAGUUACAUUUUAGGAAAUACUUUCUGUAACAACUCUGUGUUGAUCUGCUGUCUUUUGCAGCUCUAGAAACCUAAUUCUGUAUCUGGGGAAUGGAACGAAACAACUUGUGUGUGUGUGUGUGUUUUUUAUACUCUCUUGUUCUGCUUAGUUGAAAAUUAUAACAGGCGUAUGAGCAUUUGGACCAUAGUUCUCUAUUAGGCAUAAAAGAACAGCUUAGCAUGCUUUUUUCCUCACUAUGUGGGAUCGUGUACCAUGAUCAAUUUAUUGGCAGUGAUGCAUGAAAGAAUUGGCUGCAUAAUCUGAUUCUACGUUGCUUGCUUUAAAAUUUGAGUCUCUUACCUAUAUUAUGCUUGUUGUUUCACUUACUACUUUAAUAUCUUUAUACAACAAUAGGGAUUUUCUUAUAUUCUACAUAUAAAAACAUAUGAAUAUCUUGAGGAGUGGUCCCUGAUUUUAGGGGGAAAAAAAAAUUAUAUCCUCACCGCUCUCUGGGACCAUUAUAUUCUAAAGGUCCUCUAGGGAGCUAAUUUUUUAACUCUGCAGAUUUUUUAAGAAGUUCACCGUCCACUCUAUUAUAGUUCCUUUUAGACCUUUGCCUUUGUUGAACAUUUGAAAAUGUGGUGUUGUAAUGAAAUUUGCCAAUUUUGCUGUCAAUUUUCCACCUGUUGCUUCUUUCCAACUGCUCCCUUGGUUUACAUUCAGAACCAUGCCCUGUUGCCAUAAGUUUUAUUUUAACCAAAUGUCUUCUUUCUCACAUAGGUUCUGCGUGGAUGGCACUUUCUAAGCCUUUUGUUGAUUACUGCAUAUGGGGAUGGGACAACCUACCUCGAACUGUUCUCAUGUAUUAUGCAAACUUUUUAUCAUCUCCCGAAGGAUACUUCCACACCGUCAUUUGUAAUGCUCAAGAGUUCCGCAACACAACUGUGAAUAGUGAUCUGCAUUUCAUAACAUGGGACAACCCUCCAAAGCAACACCCUCACCACCUCAACCUUGGAGACAUGCAAAGGAUGAUUGACAGCAAGGCUCCCUUUGCAAGAAAGUUUCACCAAGAUGAUCCAGUGCUUGACAAAAUCGAUUCUGAGUUGUUGUUUAAGGGUCCAGGUAUGCUUGUUCCUGGUGGUUGGUGCAUAGGAAAAAGGGACAAUGGGUCUGAUCCAUGCUCUGUUGUUGGUAACACUACAGUCCUCAGGCCUAGCCCUGGAGCAAAACGGCUAGAAGUUUUGAUCAGCUCUCUAUUGUCUAACGAGAAUUUCCGAUCAAAACAGUGCAAAUGACAAGAACUCAAAACUGCUUGUGGAACUGCUUCCCCGUGCCAAGUUCAGUUGGUUUACACUUGACAGUAGAAUACAGCAUGAUCAGAGAAAUAAUAUUUCUUAUAGUUGAAAGAGAAGGAAAGAAUGCACAUACCUCUGAAUUUUGGAGAGGCAAGGAUGUGAUGAAUUUGGUGGAGUUGUAUCAAUUACUUGGCUAGAUUCUUCCUUCAUUGAUGACUGCCACUUAGAUGAUUUGUAGGUUAGCACUUUUCCACAUUUACUUUUGCUCUUUGAAAUUUUUGGAUACUGUAUUUGUCAUGCCCUGCCAUUUCGUAUGCUGCAGUGAAAUGUGUUUUGAAACCGAUGAUGGGGGUGUAAGAGCUACUGGAAAGAUGUAUAUUUGAAAUAGGAAAUCCAAAGAAAACUUGUCUGAUUCUGUGCAACUUUUGGAUCCAAGUAUAGCUGUUUCUUUCGUAGGUCUGCGCUGCCACAUUCAUAUUUCAUACUUGUUUAGGUCUUCUCUUGUUAUGUUUUUAGGUUUGUUUCUUUCUUCCUCGAUUGCCAUGAUAUCGAUUCACUUGCAUCUGGAUAUAAUUCAAUUUUGUUCGGCCUAUGCCAUGAGGCCCAUGAUCCUACGGCUAUGGAGGCCCCAAGAGCCAGACAGGCCAUGGCUUUCCCUGGCACGGCACAUAUUCUCAGAGUGGAGAGAGAGUGAAAAAUCUGUCUCUCUUUUGAAGUGCCUUUAUAAUUAAGCAUAAUUCUUCAAGUCCCUUGAUCCCUCCAAGUGAUGUAUAUACUUGUAUGUAUAAAUGAAUUUAUAAGGUAUAUAUUAGGGUUAUCUACUAUAGAGGUUCCUGAACUUGGCCCCUAGUUGCAAUUGGGCUCGUGAACCUUUUUUUUGAGACAAUUACAUCCUUUAGCUUCACAAAUAGUUCCAAUUGGGUCCUGUCAUCCAAGUCUGUCAAUUUGUCCGUCAAAAUGAGGGGUAAAAAUGUCAUUUCGAGUUCCAUAAGUCUUCUUCGCUAGAUAAUCCCGAAUACCCACACAUUUAGAGCUGCUUGGUUGAGGUACACAAAACUAGUCAUCAUCAUAACCCAACCUCCAAAAAAGAAGAAAAUCCCAUACGUGAAGUGACAAAGCAUGGAGAGAAAUGACUGAGCAAUACCAAAAGUGAACACAAAGUUUACUGCCACUAUAACACUUUGCCCAGCUGAUCUUAUCUCCAUUUAGAAAAUCUCACUUGGGUUCAGCCACCCUAGUGGGCCCCAUGACCAAGCAAACCCAGCUACAUACUCUCUCUGUUUGGUGCUUUCAAAUCGAAGCACAAGGGGUCUCUCCUUGUUCUGCAAGGCUCUCUCUUUUCUUCUCCCCCAUUUCCCUUCUCUAAGCUUUCCAAAGCACUCUCUGAUAUCUCAGCCUCCACAGCGAGGCCAUACUCUGCUUCCUUCUGCUUCAAGAUCCAUGCUUUUUUAUGUGUUGGUGAUGUACAAUUUCUUCUCUAUCUAUACUUUUCAAUCCAAUAUAUCGUCGUAUACAUAUUAAUUUCCUGACCAAUAUAGCAUAUCGGCAUAAUCUUCAAACCCAUAUGUUGGAUUUUCUAUGAAGUUCUUGCCUCCUCCCAUGGCUUUUUCUUUGCAAUGUAAUUUUUUUAGUUUUCCUCUCAUCAUGAAAACUCCAAUAUACCCCUCACAAUAAGAGCAAGUGUCAUUCACACGGUCAAAUUUGACAGAUUCUAUUACGGCAUGACCCAAUUAGAACUAUUUGUGAAGUUAAAUGAUGUAAUUGCCUCAAAAAAAAAGUUCACGAAUCCAAUUGCAAUUGAGGGGCAAGUUCAAGUACGUCUACAUCGAAUAACCCUAUAUAUUAACAUCAAAUGAGUUUUACAUGAAAAAGUGAAUAAAAAGUAAAUUGAAAAUAUCUAGAUGUAUGCUAGUUUGAGAUAAAUAAAAUUAGAGUGCUGCUAUUUCCACUCACCUGUCCUAUUUUCUCAUCCACCUUAUCUUCCCACCUACUAUAUAAAUUUUAAAAAACACAAUCAUAUUUUUUCACCCACCAAUAUUCCUAAAAUACCCUUUUAAUUAUUACCUUAUUUCCUCUCUCCUUUAUUCUCUCUACUCAUGUCUUCUCUCUCUCUGACGCCCACACAUUUCUCUCUCAUUUUUGCUGUAUCUUAUUUUCCACAAAAUUUGAAAUUUGAAAGCAAACAAUAGUAAGUAAUACAGUGGUAAAACGAUAAAAGAAGCAACUUCAUAUCACAAAAUUUAAUGACAAUGGCUAGUCAGCAUGCAAAAAAUGACCAGCCCUUGAAACCAAAACCUGGCUCAGGCUCCCCAAUUUCUAAACAUACCCAGCAACCACUUUACCACCUUCCAAACUUUCUAGUCCAUUGACAGAAACUAGUUCAUCCUCAGGUUUUCAUAUUUUUAAUUUGUUUAAGAAAAAAAAUCAGAGUCCAAGAAAUACUGAUCUCCCAAUGCUUUAAGUAAUUGUAAAGAUCUUAGAAAUUCUGUUCAAAUUGGACUUCCUUACCUUUUCGCCAAAAUCGUUCUCUUCAACAUCCAUUCUCCUGUUGUUUUCUCCCUCAUAAACAAUUUGAUUGAAUGAAUAGAAAAGAGAAGAAAAUUAUUUGAGAAUUGAGUUCUGAGCACUGAAAAGUCAUAAGAGGAAUCAUGAGCUAGGAGUCAUAGCUUUCUUGUGUUUUUUUCUCUUUCUGUCAAACGAUAGGGUUACGUGAGAACAUAGUCUGCGUUUUUUUUUUUUCUUAAGUCCUUUUAAGUCAUUUUAUAAUGAGGUUAAAUUUGUCUUUAAAAGUUCUAAAAUAAGAUGUGUGGAAAAAUAAAACAGGUGAGUAAAAAUAACAGCACUCUAAAAUUAUUGGAUUCAUCGAACCACCUCAGCUCUCCAGCUUUCAAACUGAAAGGGAAAUAAAAUAAGACAAAAUAGUAUAGCUUUAUUUCCUGUUCUUCUUAAAAUUUGGUUGUAGGGACACUAGUGCAUGUUAAAAGUUUGGAAAGGGACAUGACAUCCCCCAUUAGGUUUGGCUGCAACGAGCAAAAUUUUAAUCACAAGUUCAAUGUAUAAAUCAAUUCUGAUUAAAAAUUAUUGCGUGCUAUGCUAAGUACAACUUACCUAGCUAUACACGUGGAUGGAUAUAUGGUCGAUUUGCAACACGUGAAUGACUUACGGUCGUUGAUAUAAAUUGUAGAAUCUACACUUGUAUUAACAAUUGGGAGCACCGACGCUCAAAUACAUAGGUGACUUGGAUUGGAGCCAUUAUUGUGGUGGGAUCUGCACUUAGAAAAACAAUGAUUUGGAAUCACUCAAUGCACCCCUUUAACUGUGCCUGCCUAUCAAAACAAAUAAAGCAUACAAAACGCAAGCUAGCCGAUACCUACCUAAUAAUUUAUAAGCCAUUCGAAUUUCAUCAUGGAUGGAUUUGAAAACAGCAGAGAGACAACAGUUAUUGACCAAAUCUUUCUGAAACAGAGCCUUAUUACACGCAAAGCAGAAAAUGCACUUAUGUGGAAGGAGGCAUCGUACAAGUUUUGUCGAGCCAAACAAUCAUAUUUAUUCAUCCCAAAAUAUUAUAGGUAUAUACAAAUUAAUUAAUGAUUUAGUGGUUUUCUUCUACCAGUCGUAAAUUUUUUAUUGAGAGAAAGGAUAAUAACUCACACAUACUACGUGAAUGUUAUGACUCAAACUCAAAACCUUGCAUGAAAAAAUAAUUAUUUCAAAUCACAACAUUAAUAGAUCCUUUACCACUAAGCGUAAUAUUCAUUGGCCUAACUUGAAAUAAAAUGUGACCCUUUAAAAUGUUUCAUAUAAAUUUUCAUUGAUAUAACACCAUUGCCUCUCUCUCCCUCUACCCCUAAUGACCCUUUUAAUUUAUUUUCUAUAUUGGCUAGCUUUGAUUUUUGUGGUUUUAGGUAUUUUUGGUAGGCUAGCCCCUCCUCUCCAUAUGUGUCUGCUACUGCUAGGCUAACUUCUUAUUUUUGUUUGCAAAUUAAUUCUCCCUGUGUGCCUUACAUUAUUUAUGACAAAAAUCUCACAAGCUUUCAUAUGUAAUGAUUGGUAGGGCAAUUCAAACACAUUUCCUUGAAUUGAAGCAAUAGGGGCCCACCUUCACACAAUUUUCUAAUUCCAUCAUAUUGCUUCUGUAGGGCACCUAAUUAUAAACAACCACCGUAUUUAUUUCUCCAAUGGCCCUCCAUCUCCAUGUUCGAUCAAUCGAGACAAGCUUUUUGGAUUAUGAAUGACAUAAAAAAAAAAAGCAAAUGGCAAUGGGGAUGGUGCUGGGGAAAGCAGCCACCUAGAGAGAGAAACUCUAGAACCUAGAAAUAGAAACCCCAAAAAGCCUGUCAUGAAUCAUUGUACCCUAGAUGCCAGAUGGAUGGAUCGAUCAUUAUUUGAUUGAAUCAUGCAAGACAAAGUGCCUUCACGAUAUUUGACAUUGGAUUGGAUUGAAGUAGAUCGGAUGGGGGCUACAGUGAAUUUGGAAACAUAGACAAAAUAAGGGAUAUAUUUGAAUAGGGAACUCAAAAUUUUAAUUUUUUUUUAGUUUUAAUAAGGAGUUUUUAAAUCUAUUUUUAAGAUUUAAAAAUUUAUUUGGUAUGCAACUUAAAAUUAUUUUUAAAUUUUUAAAAAUUUGAGAACUUGUGGGUUGUUUAAAAAAAAAAAAACAGAUGUUUUUUGUUUUUAAUAAUGAGAGUGUUUUUUUAGUUGUUCUUGAGUUUGAGUUUUAAACAAUAAGGUUACCAAAUAGCUUUUCUUUGUUUUGGACUUAAAUUCUCUUUUUGAGUUUAAAAAAUUAGAUUCAAGUUGAAUACCAAACAUGCCCUAAAUGCCUCAACAAAAUAAAUUUUAAAAAUUAAUUAUAUGCGUUCAAAUCUUAAUUAAACAAAGAGAAAAUGGGGUUGGCUUUAAUCCCCAAACGAUAGCUGGAUAGCUGGCUUAAAUAUAAAAGAGAUAAUAGAAUAAGAUCAGGUGCAGGUGCAGGUGCAGGCUUUAAUAAUUUUUAGUUAUUAAUUAAUUUCAUACAGCCACAAUACAAACGACUAAAUUUUGUGGUGAACAUAUAUCUUGUGAGCAGGAAGAUCCUCAAUCAGCUCACCCUUCCUUCAGCCUUCAAGUCAUCAACUUCACAACAAGUAAGAUGAAACCCUCGUCUUCUGGCCAUGCGUUUUUCGGCACGAAUGUAGAACAGAAGUGGACGACGGAGGUGGCCUGAUCAAGCUAAAAGGAGAAGAUAAACAAAGGUGCAUUUGGCCUCGGCUUGGAUCUUGAGGUACCUAAUUUCUUUUAUCCUUUCCCUUUGCAUAUACCAUGAUCCAAGAAGAGGUUUAGUUGAGAAAUAAAAUCCAAAAUUCGAAACCAAAAAAAGGAACAAAAAAGAUAUAUAGUAUACUUCACCUUGAUCUUUCUCAAGCUUGGAAUUAGAAAUGAAUAAAGCUGGGGGUUGUUUUCUUUUCCCAGUUGGCGAUGAUCAAAGUGAGGGGCUUCAGUCGAGGAGAGAUGAAACCCGGUGCCCAAAUUGGCUUAGCUUUAAUUCUACCAUAAUUAGUACCAAACCAAUAUGAUUGCAUUUGGCGCCAUCUCUCCUACGACAGAAGCCCCUACGAAUUUGAUGAUAUAUAUGAUCUCUCUCUUCAUUUUAGAAUUGUAUGUUUUGAAUUCUUACAUUUACGAGAAAUAGGGAUUUUGAGAGUGUUAUAUAGACAUACAGUACAUGUAUAUCUUUAGUUAAUAUAUAGUACCAUAUAUAUCUUUAAUUAAAGCCGUAUAGUACUAUAUAUAUCUUUAAUUAAUAUAUAGUACCAGUACUUAAUUCUUAAACUAUAAAUAUAUAUACAUGCGACCCCUAAUCAUAAGGGGCAAACAUAAACUCCAAAUUUCUCGCUCUUUACAAAAUUAUUAUAAGGUAGGUAAUAUUGGAGUUAGGGAACUACUAGUAGCAUUCCAUUACCAAGUCUCAUGGUCAUGGAUAAGGGGACACACACACACAUAUAUAUAUAUAUAUAUGAAUUUGAUGAUCUGUUCACGAAAUUUGUCAACGCAAAACAGCUGUGAGUGAGAUGAACCCAUCUGCAAACAUACUGUUAUUAUUUUUAUUGAUCAGUAAUAUAUUUAUGGUGUCUCACAUCUCUCGUUACGUAACUCUAAUGAUUGAUGGAACUUAAUUAGUCCUGAUUUUAGUGGUUAGAUCGAUGAUAAGGCGAUCAUCUCAGUAGACCUCCUGUAAUUAACAAUAAUGUAGCAUUAUCUGCUAAAACAAUCAUAUUUGGACAGGGUCAAGCUUCAUUUGAUGAUGUUAUAUAUAUUUUGCAGAACAUGAAAUCAUGUUGAAAAUGACACCAAUUAAUUUACUAGGUUUAUAUUGAUUGUUGGUAUAGAGCUAGAUAUAAUUCAGGGUGUAGAAAUGGAGUUUGUUGUGUGUACCUUUUCCAAGGCUUUAAUCAAUCAAGAAGCUGCAUGCAGAAGUUGCAGGGUAUCUGGUCGCAUAGCGACGGCACUAGCAAGCAGAGCAUUAGGUUAACAAAGCACACCACCAACACCAAGCACCAAGCACCAAGCACCAAGCAAAGCAAGGAGGCUGCAGCCUGCAGUGCCGUCCCUCCUGCGACAAGACUCCCUACACUUCCUUUCUUCAUUUCCCUUUCAAUAUACUUUUGGACCUUACCUUUCCACACCUCCUCGUACUUACAUUUAUAAGCUCAAAAUUAAUAAUAAAAUAAUAAUAAUUAACGUUGUAUAUUGAUUCUUAAUUAGUGGGUUGUUUGAUUAUUCCUUGUAAUAAUUAGAGUCUCGCAGGUGCCAGCACAUGAAGUCAGAGAGAUCCACAGGAGAGUCCACGACGGCCACUGACUACCUGUUCAUUUGGAGGAGUCUCUGAGUCUCUCCCUUCACACGUGAAACUUCAUAUUCAACAUCACAUGCCCAAUAAAGGUACAAAUAUGAUCUUAUUUUAACCUUUGGUCCACACCUUGACUGACGGCAUAAAAUCCUAAAGAAAAUUACCAGGACAGAUUUUUUUUGAAACGUUACAAAGGUUACCUUUAAAAUCAUGACAAUGAGAACGAGGUACCAAACCUGCCAUGAUUUUAGAGAUAAUUUUUUUUGUAACGUUUUAGUAUAAAACUUCUAGUUCUAUAUCCUCAUAAAAGUUUCAAGUUGGUCGAGUCCAUCGAAUAUGCACUACUAGAAAAUGAUGAGGCAAAAGCGGUACCCACUUGAGGAAAAGAGUACUAAUAGCCACAUACCACAGAUAUUGAUUUGGGCUGGAUGUAACCUGUGAUCAAGACAAGACAAUAUAUAAAUCGGUUUUUCAUAAACUAUAUAUUAUUAUAUAUUUUGGACCAGUUGCGGUAGGUAUACAUGCUCAUCAAUGUAAACAAAAUUAUAUGAUGCCUUAAUUAAUUCUCUUGACCCUACGUUUGUUAGUUGUUCUAUCACUAGAACACAACCAUAUAAUUAUAUAUACACACUUGGGUUAUUAGAUUAUAAGUCUGCACAGGAAGACUCAUAUCUAUAUUGUAUAAUUAUAUAACACGUGCUCAGACUGGUCUGCUGGUUGUCAAAAUCCAAGCCUGAUGGAUUUUAAAAAUCAGCAGCCAGCUGAUGAUCAGAGAAGAACCCUUCGAUGAAGGGGUCAGAAAAGCAUCCGUUGAUGAAGGGAUCAGAGAAGCACCCUUUGAUGAAGGGAUCAGAGAAGCACCCUUUGAUGAAGGGGCAACUUCAUUAAAUUAAUUGCACUGGCUGUGGCCGAGUUUAGCAAGAAAAAGUCUAACAAAGAGAAUAAGAAAGUUAGGAAAAUAUUAUUAAGAAGAUGAUGAAUGGAUGAAUUAGACCCAGAUGCAAUUAUUAAAGAUAGAGAACACAAUUAAUAGAUAUAUACCAUUUUCUCGCUUUGGCCUCCUGUUUAGAUAUAUCACUUGCAGAGAAGGAUCAAAGUUUUACAAGUUAUAGGGUUUUCUGGUCACAGGAGGGAUGACACCAUCUGCUGGUAGCUAGUUGCACCACAGACAGUGCCAUCUCUCCUGCGAACAUAAAUCCCUCAACUUUUCUUCUCUCUCUCUCUCUCUCUCUCUCUCUCUCUCUCAAUUUGGAGAGUGUUAGAUCUACACCAUGAGAAAUUAAAUUAGGUAGAGUUGCAGAAAGAAAUAGAGGGGUUCAUGUCACAGGAAGAUGGAAGAUGCUUGCUGCUGCCAAUUAGAGAGCACAGCUCCCGUGCCAUCUCUCCUGCGACAUGAACCCCUCAACCUCUUUUAUCUCUUCUUUGUUGCUCUCUUCAUGGUUUCAGGGCCUCUCUAUUUAUAGUCAGGCCAGGGUUCUCUAUGAGCUCAGAGAAUGUAAGGUUUUUCCACAAAUAUAUAUCAGGAAAUUACCUAAACAAUGCCAUGAAGUUGCUUCUAGUUUGCGAGGGCUUUGCCUCCCAAAGAUUAACGCAGAAAACGAGACAAAUUAGACUAUUCUGAUUAAUUAAUCUUUCUUCAAAUCAAGGGUUCAAAAUGUUGAACAUUGCCUAACCAACCACGCAUCAGAAACUCUCUAGUAACUUACAAGUUCAUUUCGUCCAAUCGAAAAAUUAUGAAAAUUACAAGGACAAUUUCCUGGAGACCUUCACCCCGUAAUUAAAUUCCACGACUUUGUUUCAAGCAUAUAGCCUCCAGUCAAAAGAAAUGGAAAGAUCUGUUAAGAGUCUUGUCUUUGUUGCGGGGGCAGCUAGCUAGUCUGAGUCAUGCAUUCUAGUCUGGCUUGGACUAGUUCUUGUGUUUCUUGGUUGCUUUACACUGGGUUUUUGAUUUUUAAGAGAACCUCAACGAUAGGAGAAAAACAUUACUGAAAACUUGUACCAUCAUAGCUGGGCCAAUUAGCUAUAGCUGUCAUGAUAGAAUUACUUUAUCAAGGAGGGUGAGUUCGGAGUAAUUGGUGUCUCUUUCUAAUUUCAACGUAGCUUGUCAGAUUUUUCCCUUAUGGAAAUCAUGAACUCUGUAAAUUCCUUGUGAGUUUCCAGCUUAUUAAUAUGCGAUGUGAGCUGGAUGCUCUCAAUUAAUUAACCUUGAGCAUGCGUUUGAAUUAACUAGUAGAUUAAUUAACUCAAGGCAAAUGUAAAGGUAAUUUCUUAUAUUGUAGAAAAACCUAACAUAUGAAGGUAUUCUAUAGACUCCAAAUUGAGAUAUAUAAAUUAUGGGCAUACCGCCGGUCGGUCGGUCCGUCUUUGGUAUGGGCUGCACGGUUCGGACCGAAUCGUUUCCAGCCCUAAUUUUAUUAUUAAUUAGGAUGAUACAUAUACCGAAGAAGGUUAAGAAGAAGAUUAUAAUAAAAUUGGAUCAAACACCAAAUUGAACCAUUUCUCAGAAGAAACAUUUUUUGUUAUUUUGUUUCAGUAAUAUGCAAGUCAGCCAACAAGGAAUUUGGGCCCAUUUUAGUUUAUAAAGGCCCAAUAAAAAGACAACAGGCCACCUAAUACAUUCUGGACAUAAGGCCCAAUAAAGCAUUCUGGGCCGUGCAUUAAAAACCCUAAAUUUUGUCUCCAUGACCAAGUACAAAGUGAAAGAUCAUCACUUGGGACUGUGGAAAUCAACGCGGCUCAGUUUCAUGGAGUCAUUUUAUAGUGAGGGCCUUAUAGCACUUCCACUCAUUUGUCAUGACAAAAUAUUUAGUUUUUUAUUUUUUAUUUUUUUUGGUUGCUGACAUCAUCUCUGACGUCAGCAAACACAGGACAGAGCAAGAGCUGGUUUUACCUGAGGGCCAGCCCAGGCUUAUGGAGCCCACCAACAGCCCUGGUAGCAUUUGCCCGCUGGAAGCCCUUUUUGGGCCUAGGGCCCCCCUUGCCCAAGGCCGCUGGAAUCGUUCUUAAGUGAGGUCAUAUCUUUUAAUCGUUAGAUCAUACUAACCAAUUUGAUUUAACAGCUAAGAAAUAGCACCUCAUAUAACGGCCUCACUAUAGAAAUCUUGCAGUUUCAUGUAAGUUUUUAAAUUCCAUCGAUUCAUAGUAUAACAAAUUGGCUUCAAGUUUAUGCUUUCGGUUGGGGGAUUUUUAGCCCCAAAUUUUUACUCUGUUCCACUUUUUCCAUGCCUAUUCCCACUUGUUUUCCGGAGCUUUGUGUCUAGGCUUGUCCUGCUUCUUUGGAUUUGCGUUCUGAAAUCAAGUGUUU